GAUGGUUUCAAGGUGUAAGGCGAGGAAGAGAUACAUGAAGCAGUUUGUGAAGGCGAGGCAAGCCCUGUCUGCAGCCCACAGUAUGUAUAUCAGAUCCCUGCGUGGCACUGGCUCUGCUCUCCUUCAGUUUGCCACCGCCGAGACCAAUCUCUACCACCACCAUCUCACACCGAUUCUACCCUCUCCACCGCCGCCCAUGAGUCCCAGCUCCGAUACGUGGACAUCAUCACAGCCUCGCCCUCUCAUCUGCCGCCUCCGCCUCCUCCUCCUCCACCACCACAGCAGCCCUCUGAAUUUUUUUUUUUAAGGGGGGCACGUGGACAAAAUGAGGGAGGGGCACGUGGACACAAUUGAGGGGGUCCUUACAACGGCUAGAAAAAUACAACGGUCGAAUUCGAAUCUCUUUUUCAAUCUCUCCCUCUCUCUCUCUGUCUCAUUCUCUCCCUCUAUCUAUCUCUCUCCCUCUCCCUCUCCCUCUCCCUCUCUGAAACCCCCUCGCAACUCUCCCUCCCUCUCUCCCUCUCUCUCUCUCUCUGAAACCCCCGAAGAUGCAAGACAUGUGGAAUGUUCCCCCUGGUUUCAGGCCCAGCACAUCUGCGCCUUCGUCUCCCGCAAAGCCUAUUCGGGUGUCAAGAACUCGAUCAGAGUCCUUUCAUGUCACCCACAAAGUCCCUGUUGGCGACACUCCUUAUGUGAGAGCCAAAAAGGUUCAGGUAAGCUUCCGUUCUGGGUAAUCUUGAAAUUUGCCAACAAACCGAGGUUUCUUCUUUUGCGUGAUUGAUCUCUGUUUGAUGGGUUUGAUUAUGACUUUUGUUGCAUCAGUUGGUUGACAAGGACCCGGAAAAGGCAAUCCCGCUAUUUUGGGCCGCCAUUAAUGCUGGAGAUCGAGUGGAUAGUGCGCUCAAGGACAUGGCCAUUGUGAUGAAGCAACAGAACAGGGCUGAAGAAGCCAUUGAGGCUAUUAAAUCGUUGCGAAGUCGUUGUUCAGAUCAAGCCCAAGACUCUCUUGAUAAUAUCCUUCUGGAUCUGUACAAGGUCCUGUCCUUUCGAAAUUCCUUAUCACUUGUUUGUAUCUGGCUAUUUAAGAUUAUUGAGUACUGAUUUUUGUCUUUUGGAAAUUCGAUUCGACAGAGAUGCGGGAGAUUGGAUGAUCAAAUUGCACUUUUGAGGCACAAAUUGUUCUUGAUUCAACAAGGGAUGGCUUUCAAUGGGAAGCGCACCAAGACUGCCAGAUCCCAAGGGAAAAAAUUUCAGGUGUCCGUGGGACAAGAAGCGACUCGGUUACUGGUAAGCACACGGUUUUUCUGCUAGUUUCAGUCCUCUAUCUCUCCCUAAACUCCAUAUUGAGACGAAUUUCCAUUUCAGGGGAACUUAGGAUGGGCAUUGAUGCAGCGGAACAACUAUAUCGAAGCAGAAGAUGCCUACAGGCGGGCACUUUCAAUGACUCCAGAUAAUAACAAGAUGUGCAAUCUGGGUAUCUGCUUGAUGAAGCAAGGGAGGAUUCUGGAAGCCAAAGAAACCCUUAGAAGAGUGAAACCGGCUGUUGCAGAUGGACUGAGAGGUGUAGAUUCCCACCUCAAAGCAUUUGAGAGGGCACGGCAGAUGCUGCUUGAUCUUGAGUCUGAAAUGUUGAAUAAGGGAAGCGACCCUGUCGAACAGAGUCGGCUCUUUGAUGCCUUCCUCAGUUCUUCCUCGCUUUGGCAGCCUCAGCCUUGUAAGGACCAGCACACAACGAAUACAAUCAAAUCUCAAGAUGAUUUUGGGGAUGAGAACUUCGACACCAACAGAGUCAUGAAGGUUCUUCCUGGACAGAAGAUUGCCAAACCAACGGCUGUUCAUGCGAACUCACUCAACGUCGCGGCAUUGCCAUUCUACUCAUCAAAGAUGACCAAGGACCCAAUUGGAAAACCACUGCAGGAGUCCCUUAAGAGAACAAGAUCAGGGCUUGCUGCUAAUUCGAUAGGAGUGAAUGAAACAGGGGCGUUCAGAAAGCCCUUAAUGGAAUCCAUGGAACCAGAAAAUAAGACUAGAAGGCAAUCUCUUUCACCCGAAGAAAAUGGGGACAAGUGGGCAGACUUGCUGCCAGACAGCAAGGAGUUUGAAGCGGCUCUUAUUGCUGCAGUUUUGGGUUCAGCCACUGAAACAGGGAAGAAGACUGUGGAGACUGGAAACAGUUCUGGAAUUUUACAGAAUAAGAUUGAGAGUAGGCUUAAAGUCUUUCAAGACAUAACACUCUCAAUGAGCCCAAGAGCCUAACCUCUCAAUUAGUGUCAACUAAUUCAAUUUAGUUUUUACAAGCUAUAAUAAUAUAGGUUUUAGGUUGGAGAUGAUCUUGUUCUCCUGGGCUCCUGUUCAAGCAGAAGGGGGGGGGGGGGGGGAGAGAGGAGUACGCAGCUAUGCAGAGAGUAUGGUAGCAGUCCCUGCUGGGGUAGUAGCAGCAGUAGUUAUAGUAGAUGCAAUUCAUUAAUUCUUGUCCACCUCUCAAAAUAAAGGGGGGCACACAUCUGUAAUAAAACAUAUGAUGAUGUUCAUUAGCUACAUUUUGACUCAAGAAAAUGAGGAUCUUGCCUUGUUCUAUAUUGUAUGGCAUUCCUAUUGUGUAUGGCAUUUAAUUUUGAUCAUAUGAGGAGCUCCUAAUUGUUUAGGAACAUAGUUUUCUUCAAUGAAUCUUUGUGGGAUCUUCUUAUUAUACAUGGUUUCUUCUUAUACAUGAUCGAUCCUGUUUUACUCCUCUUUCCUUUGACUUCUUUGUCUAUAGUAGAAAGUAAUGGCUAUAGCAGUUGUCGCAAAAGCAACUCCUGCAGCAGUUUUUGCCAUGGUUGAACUGUUCUUCACAGCUGUGAUUACCCUGGAAGUCCAUGUAGGUGGAACAAACCCUAGCUCCGAAAGCUUCUUGUGGGAUGCCGCAUAAUCUCUGAAGAAAGCCUCCUCAUCCUGCCAUGUACCAGAAAUAUGAUAAGAAAAACAGUAAAGGGUUACAAGAGACUGCAUGAGACUAUGUGAACAUCCACGAAGGUUCCAGCAAAAUACUACAUUACCUGUUCAUACAACAUAACAUAUUCUAGGAAUUUAGGAUCCUUUAUUAAUGCUUGGUCUGUGGAAAAUAUAAACAAUCGCCUCCCUGUUGAAUCCUCGCCCGCAGCUGAAGAAGAAGGUUUCUGCUGUGAAUACCCUGUUGGAGGGUUACUAGGUGUAGGAAACUUGGUUGAUGAUUUCAAAAGCUCCCUGAUUACAAUAUUAAUCAUAACAUAUAGCCAUCAUAUAUAAUUGAAACAUUGCUGCAUUUAUAUGCGUUCCAAUCAAUGAAUUCUCAAAUGAAACCUUACUUGAAAUACGAAUUGUCGAACUUCCAGGGCUCCUCUGUCCACUUGCCAUCAAAGCCUGAAACUUGCUUAUGUGCCCCUCCCUACAACACCAAACCAAACAAAAACUACAUGCAUAUUUGUGGAUGCUGAAAGAACUUUUUAAAGAUAGCUGCAGAUCUGUGGAGGAAGUUACCAAUGUAUGACCUCCGGAGAGGGCCACAAUAUCCUUGUCCUCAAGACCCAUCCGGUUAAAGACCGACCUUAAAUGGUCAGCACCUGCAACAAAAUUUAAUAAGAGUAAUGUAAAUUUUCUGCUUGGUCUUAUAUGGGAAGUAUAAGAGAGCUCUGAUUUCUGAUGCAUAACAACCAAGAAACAAUUUGUAGAAGGAGCACAGCUGAAAAGCUAGAGAGGGGACCAAGGGGUGAAAUGACAGAAUUCGACAAACGAUAAGGUUCAAGUCUCUAUGCAUUAUCUGUGAGUUAUAGAGCAGAAUAGGAAAAUGACUUCUUUUCCAUAAACAAGGCCAGAGAGCAUAAAGAAAACAGAAUGGGAACCUUUGUUAGCAUCUGGGAGGAGCCCUUCUUUUGGUGAAGACAAAGAGUCCUGGUUGAAAAACAGGGGGGAAAAAAUUAGGAGUAAUAUUUGAGAAAGGUGAUCAAAAGCUUCCUCCAUGAACCAACCUGUCUACCAGGGACGAAGUGAAUAGUGGGGCCUCCAGUAACCUCAACUGCAACAACACCAGCAAGCUGACAAAACCCCAAAGGAGUCAGGAAAGCGACCACACCGGCAUCCACUUGCAAAGAUGAUGCAAACCAGAGCUUGUUUUUAUCCUUAGCUUCUCAAUGAAUUCAAAUUAAAUCACAGAACAGUUAAUUUCUGAAACAAGAGUCACCUGGUAAAGGUCAGCAUAUGUAAUGCAAGGAUGCUUCCUUUUCACCUUCUCUGACAUCAGAGCAGAACCAGAGCCCAUUAGAAGAAAAAAAUAGUAUUUCAAUUUCAAGUAGGAAAAACUGAGAGUUGUGGUGGGAUGAAGUCCCAAUCAUACUAUCUCGGCACUGAACCUCAUUAAAAGGAGUCUGAUUACAAUACAAGCAAAAAAAAAAAAAGGGGAGGGACAAAUCUUUUGCCAGUGUGCAAGGGCAAAAGGGAAAAUGAAUCUCACCGCAAAGAUCAACUGCCGUUUCCAAACCCCUAUUUGCAGAAUGAUUAAGCUCUUGUGGGUUUCUGAUGGAGCCAUUUGGGCCCCCUGUCUUUGUGAGAGCAUCAUAAGUGCCUGCAUCAUGAAACCUGCAAACAAAAUGCUAUUUAGCUUCCGAUCAUUAAACCCUCAUGCAUUAAAGCUAAAUUACUUUAAAAUCCAAUAGAGCCAGAAUGCAAAAAAUCAGCUCACGAUCCUCCCCCCCAUACAUGCCAAAUACUAAGUCUCCGUUAAUUUGAACCUUGCAAAAAACACACACACAUGUAUGAAUCGUUUUGUUCAUGGCCUGUUCAUGGCCGUAUUUCUGACACGCCAUAAGUCAUAACACCUAGAAAAGCCUUUUUCUUUUUUUUCCUAAUUUUUCUGAAAUUUUCAUCUUAUCUUCCCCGUCUAUUGAAAUGCAACCACUUAUGUUUUCUCCCCUCCCUUCGAAAUGUCAGUUCUAACAUUUACUAAAUGAAAUGAAAUGCAGGGAAAAUGAAAAAGAAGCAUAAAUUAAACUUAAGGGACACUACGCUAGACGGAGCAUCAUGGGUGCACAGUUUUUGCUGGAAAUGAGAGCACGGAGGUAUCUACGAGCCCUUUCGAUUUCUUUGUAGUAUUCUGCAUUUACAACUAGUGGUGCUGGAGUUGGUGCUGGUGCAGAGGCUGAGGUUGAGGCUUGGACUUCCAUGGGAGCUCACCCACCCUGCAAAGAAUUGAAGAGGAAAAAAAGAAGGAAUGAUGAUAGUGGAGGGAGGACCCUUGAUUAGUUUGUCUUUAUAGAGAGGGAAUCACAACGAAAGAGAUGGGUGGAAGAAAAGGGGUGGGGGAGAGAGGAAGCAAAGGAUUGAUUUUGCAUGGAAAGGGAUACGAUUCCAAUUAUAAACAUGCAAGGGACUACAACUGCUGAUUGCCUUCUUCUUCUUCGUCUUCUUCUUCUUCAAAAUCUUCUUAUCUCUUGAGGUAUGAAGAUUAAAAAACCUAAAUAGAUAAUAACUUUCAUGUAUAUAGUUUAAAAUAAUUUUUUUAUUUAAAAGAAAAACACAUUAUUUAAAAUUAUUAUUUUUAAAUUUUUAAAAAUAUCUUUGAGAGGCUUUUUUUUUUUUGCUAAAUAAUAAAAACUUGACCCUGUGAUUUAAAAACACUUCUAAAAACCGAAAAAUGUUUUUGAAAAAUUAUAACAUUGUUUGGUUGUUGUUUUCUUAAAAAAAAAAAUUAAAAACAAAAUAAAAUUAAAAAUCAUUUUUAAAGAAUAAAUAAAAAUUAUUUUCACUUAUUUUAAAUACAAAAGGAAAAUGUAAAUAAAUAAGAAAAAAUUAAAAUAAAAAACCAUAUAAACAGAUGAAUGUAUGUAUGAAAUAAAAAAAUCAUUCAUUUAUAUUUUUAAAAAUUAAAUUUUAUUUAUUUUUAAAUUUAUUCAAAAUAAAAUAGUAUUAACAGUUAUUAAUUUUAAAUUGUUGUUACUAUUAUUAUUAUUAUUUAUUUCCAACAAAAUAAAUCAAUGAUGCUUUUAUGAAAAUGUUAAUAUUCAUUAUUUAUAAUAUUUAUAAAAAAAAUAUGAUUGUAUUAUAAUAUUACUAUUCAUAUUUUAUUAAAUAUAUUUAUUUUUUAUUUUUUGUAAUUACAAAAUUGUUUUUAUUUUUAAUAAGACUUGAAUUAAAAUUAGUUUACAUGAUAUAAAUUGAAUUUAUAGUUUUUUUUUACAAAAUUAAAAAAAAAUUAAAACAACUUAUUUAAAUAAGAUUUUUGUUUUUGUUUAAAAAAAACUUUUUUUAAAACAACUUGAAUCUAACGAACCAAAACACUUCAUUCUCUUAAAGUUAAAUUAAAUUCUAUUUAUAGGUAAAGUUUUAUUUUUAUUGAAAUAAUUUUCUUUUUUACAUUCUCCAAAAAAAAUAAAAUAUUUAUUCUCACUCCUCAUUCCUAUAUAAAAAAAAUGGAUUUAACGUCAAAUUUUAGAAGAAAGCUUGAAAGCCAUAAAAUUGAGGGGCUUUUUGACUGGUUAUAUAAGGAAAAGCUUUAAGUAUGUCAUCCUCCAUGGCGUCUUCUUCAACCAAAAGACUCAUGAGUCAUGACUCCUUCCAAAACACGAUUGAAGGUAUCCAAGGAAAUGUUUGAAAGAGUCCUACGAAAAAGUCAUUAAUAAGUACUUUUGCAAAGCCCUUUCAACCAUGAUACAAAAUUUUUCAAGUCUCUAAUAUUUUAAAUUAAAAAUUUUCUUCAUAUAUUAACAACUAUUGACUCAAAAUAACAAUAAUUCUUUUCUCCUAUUGUAAAAGUUGUAUUACUGCUAUUGAAUCAUAGCUUAUAUUUUAUCCUAAAUUUCAAAAUGUCACUAUUAAAUCAUAGUGUAUCCUUUAUCAUAAACUAUUGAAUUUCCUAAUACAUCUUGUUUUUUUUAAAAAAAAAUAAAUUUUGAUAAUUAAAAAAAAGGAAUUCACAAAUUAAAUCCCCUACCAAAACAAUUCAUAAACUUAUGCUUCUCAUCCAUGUAGAUAUCAUGACUAUGAUUUUAAAUUUUUUUUAGAUGAUUAAAAUUAUAAUUAGUAACUACGAUAACUUUAUCGUAACUAGCCAUGAUGAUAACUUUAUGUAGCUAGCCACUGUGAUAACCUUAUCGUAGUCACAAACCACUGUUUUAUGUUUAUAAAAAAAAAACUCUUAGGUCUUUAUACAUACUUGAAAUGCACUAAUUCAAAAAAUAAUUUUGUUGAAAAAUUAAGGUUCAUUUGGUUAUGUUUUCUAAAACUUGUUUUUAAAAAUUACUUUUUAUUCUUUAACUUUAUAGUUUUUAAAAACAAGUUUCAUAAAACAUAACCAAAUGGACCCAUGUUUUCAUUUUGUUUUUAAAAAUUGAUGAAAACAACUUCUAUUUGUUCUCUAAAAAUUGUUCUCUAUUUCACUUUAUUUUCAAAAAUUAUUUUCAAAAACCAACAACAAAACAGUAUUAAAAAAUUUUAAAAAUAGUUUUAUAUCUUUAAAACAAAAAAAUUGUUUUUAAAUCAUAUAAUCAAACAGACUUUUAACUUCAUAAAUUUUGUUUUUCAAAUGAAUUAUUUUUGCUCAAAACUCAUUUUCUCAAAUUUGAAAAAAAAAUAAAAUUAUAUGAAGGAUAUUAAAAUUCUCAAGUCAUAUGUACUACUUUAGGGUGAUUUUACACAUAGAAUAUAAGUUUAGUUUGUGAACAAAAUGAAAACCCAUUUAAUAUUUCUUUUUCAUGGCAUGCACAUGUUGAAUGUGGAAUCACAAGCCUGUAAAUUUUUUAACUUUACCUAAAAAUCCAAUGGUGUGUGAUGAAUAUUUUAGUAAUAAGGUAUGAUGCGGACCAUGUGGUAAUGGUGGCCCCUUGCUCAAUUGUUUUAGAUUUUGUUAGCUAAGUUCCAAGUUACCAUUGUGGAACAUAUUUGGAACUACCACAUGGUGCCCCCAUUGAUUUCACCUUCAAAAGGCUGCAACUUUUGAUUUUCUUAUUGUUGCUUUAGCUUAAUGCUUUAUAAUCAAUUACGAGAUUAUAUAUCAUCUAUUAUUAGAUUACUUCAAUUUAAGUUAAUCUAUCAAAAUCCGAUACCUUAUGUCGGAUUAGGAAAAAAAACUUAUAACACAUAACUUUUUUUAACAUUUUAGAUGUCUAUGUGACUCAAAAUAGACGAUAUCUAUUAUCAAAAUAUAAUAUUUUUUUAGUACAUAAUAUACUAGCACGAAUAAUUAAAUUUAAACUAUUAAAUACAAAGAGAAAUCACAAUUUAAAUACGAAACGACACCAAAAUAUAAAAAUUAAAAAAUUAAAACCCGAGUAAAAUAAAAUGAGAUCAAGACUAAAAAACCAAUCUUUUAUCUUCUUUUGUCAAAUACAGAUACAUACUAAAAAUGUAACAUAAAAAUUUAACAAAUUUAGGUAUCAUAAUAGCACCCAUGUGGACCUGAGAAUUUUAAGAUUCUCUAUAAAUUAAGAAAAGAAGAAGAACAAAUUGUUACCUUUUGGGAUAUUUUUAGGUGGGAAGUUGUAAAUUGCAAAGUUUGAGAAGGGUAUAGUUGUCCAAAAGGGAGGAUAUUUUUGGCAGUUUCCCCUGGAAUGCUCUUCUCUGACAGAUUGAUUCCAGUGCCACAGUUCCCUGAAAAAAGCAAGCAAAUUUAUUAAUAUCCCAAAACACCCCAAAUUUCAAUUGGCAGAUUAAAAUUGUAGACAAUGAAACGGUGUCGUUUCAGCGGGGUCCAUGCAAAACGCUUUUACAAAAAAUCCUUGUCUGCGUAAAAUCUGGUUUUUUGAUACAACACAUUUAUAUCUUCCAUUUUUGAAAUAUUACCUUCCUAAGGCUGUAUUGGCCGUUGAAAUGCAUAGUUACCUAAACACCCCUCCCUUCCUUCCUUAUUAGUUCCCCUGUUCUCCGCACGUCCCAAGGGCAUGCCGUGAAUAAAGGCACAUUCUAGGGGCAUUUUGGUCAUAAUACUUUAUUUGAUAAAAUUACUCCACUGGGCACCCUGCCCAACGUUCAUUUGUCUGCUUACAUCUCAAAACUGCCGCUCCGUUGCUUUCCUCCUCACAACCACAGAGUGGGGGGAGAGAAGAGAGGAGAUGAAACGGUGUCGUUUGUUUGGGAGGAAGCGAGGUUAAAGAUUCUGAGACCCAAAAGAAGUGAAGGAGAAAAACGGUGGCUUUUUGAGACCCGCCAUCGAUGAAAGCUUCAGAAGCUUUACCAAAGUGAGAGAACGCAGAAAACGUUUUGGUUGUUGUUUUGUUUUUUGAAAAUCAGAAAUGGGUUGUUGUUACUCGAGAAUAGAGAGAGAAGAGAUGGUUUCAAGGUGUAAGGCGAGGAAGAGAUACAUGAAGCAGUUUGUGAAGGCGAGGCAAGCCCUGUCUGCAGCCCACAGUAUGUAUAUCAGAUCCCUGCGUGGCACUGGCUCUGCUCUCCUUCAGUUUGCCACCGCCGAGACCAAUCUCCACUACCACCACCACCACCACCACCACCAUCUCACACCGAUUCCACCCUCUCCGCCGCCACAGCAGCCCUCUCCUCCGCCUCCACCGCCGCCCAUGAGUCCCAGCUCCGAUACGUGGACAUCCAUCACAGCCUCGCCCUCUCAUCUACCGCCUCCGCCUCCUCCUCCUCCUCCGCCGCCCCCGCCCCCGGCGCAGUCCAGCUGGGACUUCUGGGAUCCGUUCGUGCCGUCUUCGUCAAGGUCCGUGACGGAGGAGGAGUGGGAAGCUACGACGAUGGCGUCGGAAGCCCCUGCCACGACCGCCGUCUCCGCCAGCGUCACGGCUCCGCCUUCGGUGGUCAGUGGGUUCUCUAAGGACACAUCGAGCGAGCUUGCUAUGGUGGUGUCAAGAAACAGUAAAGAUCUCGCUGAGAUCGUCAAAGAGGUCGACGACUACUUUCUUAAAGCCGCCGACGCCGGUAGCGAAGUCUCAUUACUCUUAGAAAUUCCAAGGUCCACUUUCUCCAAUCAGACUGGAGGUAUUAUUUUUCACAAGUUUAUUCUAUGAUCAUGGGUUUGCUUUAGAUUUUCCUUUACUCUUGUUUGGCUGAUGAGGAAGAACAAAAGAAAAUGAGGAAUGUUAAUUUUGUCUUAUGUUGUCUUGGCGUUAGGCACAAUUGAGUGGACCCUUUUGUUUGGUAGCCCAGAAAUAAAUGAAAAUUUGAAACACAAGUAAUGGGUUUUGAUUCUGUUGUUUACAGGUAAGGUUUAUAGCUGUGGAAAGAGUUCGAAUCCAUUAUGGUGUCCAUGGGCUUCGAAUUCGAAAUUGAAUGGGUUUGGGAGACUGUGUGAAGAGAUGGUUGUUACUGAUAUAGCUGGUGGGGGUAUUAUCAGUGGUAGUAGCAGUCACUGUUCUACUGUGGAGAGGCUAUAUGCUUGGGAGAAGAAACUGUUCCAAGAGGUUAAGGUAAUAUAAUCCUAAAUUUUCAAUUCCACCACCCCAUAAAGAAAUUCUCUCUCUGAUGUCUUGUUUCUUUGCUUGCGUUUUGAAGAAUGCUGAGAGUAUAAAGAUAGAGCAUGAGAAAUGUGUAGCCCAGCUGAGGAAGUUGGAGGUAAAGAGGGCUGCUGACUAUGUGAAGACUGAGAAAACCAAGAAAGAGGUUGAAAAGUUGGAGUCUAGGAUGAUGGUUGCAUCCCAGGCCAUUGAAACUACCUCUACUGAAAUCAUCAAAUUAAGGGAGUCAGAGCUUUACCCACAACUCCUUGACAUCGUAAAAGGGUUAGUCUUCUUCUCACUCCCACCACCACCACCUUCACAUGAAUGUAUUAUUCAUUUCUUAUUUUUUUCAUGUGGGUUAGUGAAAUUCCACUGCAGAAACAAGACCAUAUAAAGAAUGUGCACCACAUAGAAAGGGAAUACAUUGCCUUCUUAUGCAUUAAAGCGCUCAAGCCAAGUCAGAAUUAUCAAGUGUCUAAGGUUAACAGCUUGAGCUUUCUGAACAUUUGGCCUAAACCAUAUAAGAAAUUGCUAUACAAAGGCCUCAAUGGAGACCCUCUAUAUUGGCCUAAACCGUGAAAAGAGCCACCCCCACUCCUGCACAGAGCAGCAGGUGAUGGAGAUUUGAAAGAUGAGACUUUUUUUUUUUUUUUUUUUUCUGAACCAUUGGUUAUCAGAACUAGGGUUACCCAAAUCAAUGUCUAAAAUAUAAGGUAUUAUUUAGGUUGGGUCUAUUUUCCCAGUAUCCUGUUUGGUUCUCUAGGGGGUUUGAAUUUAUGCACAGUGAAGCAGAUAUACAACUUACCCACUCUGAGACUUGGUUGCUUCCUAAAGUCAAAUUCAACUUUAUUGUAUUGGGAUCAGAUGGUAUGCCAUGGGCAAUGGUAGUACAAGCAGUCAAAUUUGCUUUUGACUGCUUUUACUGUUUGAUUUCAUGGCUUUUGUUUGCUUUUGUUGCAAAGACUUACUGAGCCCCGACCGUGCAACAGUUGAGUAAUCCAUUUGGGGGGGUGGGUUGGGGCUAUCCCCAACCUUCAAUUGGGCUUCCCUUUAGUGUGAGGAACCAUCUUUUGUGAACCCUCUUUGCUUUAAUGUCUUCCAAAAGGAGGCAAUCAUGUGGUUCUCGUUCUGACUGUACCAUCUAUGAUGGGGUCCAUCAGAUUGGAUAAGGUACAUGGCCAACUGGGUAAGGUGGGGACUAUAGAUGUACUGGGUUGGUAUUCAACUGGACUAUGGUCUACAGUAAUGCUUUACUAGGGAAUUUAAAGUCUAUUUACUUCUCUCUUGACAGUAGAGAAGCUAGGGCAGGGUUUUGUGGCUGGUUGUUUUAACUUUUAAGCCAUUUGUCAUGUUUUGAUUUUCUAGACAAGCUUGAUGAACUGUGCUCGAUCCUCAUUGCUACAUUUAUUUUCUUAGGAUCAUUAUAUUUAUGGAAGUUAUUUUCCACUCUUACUGAUUUUACUUUCAUUGCAGAUCGAUGAGCAUGUGGAGAAGCAUGUACGAGUGCCACCAGGUCCAAAUGCACAUAGUUCAGCAGCUCAAAUAUCUCAAUGCUAUCCCAUCAACUGAGCCCACAUCCGAGAUUCACAGGCAAUCAACUCUCCAGCUCGAGCUUGAAGUCCAGCAGUGGCACUCAACCUUUUGCAGCCUAGUAAAAACCCAACGAGACUACAUCCAAGCACUUACGGGCUGGCUCCGUCUUAGCCUUUUUCAGUUCAGCAAAAACCCACUAUCCAAAACCAGACAGGAGUCCAUGAUUUACUCCCUUUGUGAAGAAUGGCACCUUGCACUUGACCGGGUUCCAGACAAAGUGGCAUCUGAAGGGAUAAAGAGCUUGUUAACAGUAAUUCAUGCCAUUGUAGUUCAACAAGCUGACGAGCAAAAACAAAAGAAGAGGUCAGAAUCUGCAUUUAAAGAUCUUGAGAAGAAACUGGUUGAGCUUAGAGCACUGGAAUGCAAACAAUCCCCAUUUUCAACGCCUGAAUCAUCUGCCAUCACAAGAAGCAAGGACCCAAUAGCAGAGAAGAGAGCAAAGGUGGCAACUUUGAGAGCAAAAGCAGAGGAGGAAAAGAGUAAGCAUGAAAAGGCAGUGAGUGUAACAAGGUCUGUGACAUUGAACAAUUUGCAGAUGGGGUUCCCACAUGUCUUUCAGGCAGUGACAGGUUUUGCAAGUGUAUGUACUCAUGCAUUUGAAUCGGUUCACAACCAGGCCAAGUGUAUGGACCAAGAGCUCGAUGUGAAGAGGAUACUGCCUUAAUUGAGGAUCCUGCCUGCUGUCUCAUCAGGGCAAGCAUAUACUGGAAAACCAAAUGAUCCAGAACUUGACGUCUGUCUAUAGGUUUGCAUUUCCAUUUCAGUUGCCGGCUUGAACCCCAGAAAUUUUCCGAAUGCAGGUUGACAGUGACUUACCUCCUGCACAGAUCUAUGAGAUACAAUCUCAAACACAGUGCAGAAUCAAUAGCAAUUAUAGGUAUACAGCCUUUUGUACGUAGUCUCUCCUGAUGGAGGUAGAAUUGGGGGUUUAUACCUUUGUUUGAAUGGUUUGAAUUUUCUCUUUGUUAGAGAAGAAGCCAAAAAAAAAAAAAGAGGUUCUUUUUGUGAAUCUUUGUGAAGGAUUUUAAAGAGUUGUUUAUUUAUUAUGCUGUUCAGAGAGGGAGUUUCUGUGUGGGUUUGUCACUGAGGGUUACAUUUUUGAGAGGUGCCCAAUUAGUGGGAAAUGAAUGAGAGGUGGCAAUUUUUGAAUAGAAAGUUGAUUGAAAAAUUCAAAUUUUGAGCCAUUUAAUAAAAACCUUUGAAAAUUUUGAUCAAGAUCAUGACACAGAAUAAAAAUUUUCAAAAAAUAAAUAUCUUGCAAGGGUUAAGAGAUUCAGAUGCCAUAAUAAGCUAAGGUAUGUACAUGAUACACCAAAAUCUUACAAUUGAUGGAAAAAUCCCUAGGGGCUUGUAUCCGGCUUGGUGUUAAACCAAGAAAUUGAUCCUUCAGCAAUGAUUGAAGUAUAACAAUAGAAGUUAACCAAAAAAAAGUCUGCUAUCUGGUGCUUAUUAGGUUAUAGAACAGAUGGCACCAAACACACAGUUUAGUAUAAGCCUAUGGAACUAACUAGGUGAGACAGUACACUUACCACACAGCCAUGUAUACCGUUUGUCACUCUUGAGAGACAAGAAUAUUUCCCUGGCAUUGGGGUUGUCAAAUAAAUCCAGAGCAGCAAAAUAGACUCGCUCAUCAACACCUUGUAUCUCAUCCAAUGCUUGAACACAGUUGGUUAUAGAGAAUUUGGCAUUCCGUUGCUUUAUAGCAGCUGUCCUCAGUUUUGAAGCAGCUGCCAUUUCCAGUAUAGCCCCUGCAAUAACAUUGUCAAUUCCUCUGCGGCCUCUUUUGCGAGAACUAAUUCCAGUAGGUAGAGUAGACUGAAAAUUGUCUUGCCCGUCUGCCAUCUCAGCCACAUCAUCUGACUCUGAUGAGGACUCCUCCCGGUGCAUGCUCAAAGGUUCUGGACAAGGAUAUUCAUAGGGAAUUCCUUCCUCAUGUUCAGCUGAUUGCUCAUUUGUCCCAUUGGCUCCUGAUUCUGAGAAUAUUGUGCAUAGCUGUUUGUAAAUUGGGCAGCCAGCGCUUCUCAUACUCUCAGCAUCAGGAUGUUCCUGGUUAGUAAGUUCCAUCCAAACAUUGUGAUGGACAAUAAAUAAAUAGUAUAAUCUGCUCCCUCCUGAUCUUGGAGGAACUCCAACUAUAUUGUGUUUAAGGAUAUCAUUGAUGAAUCUGGCUUCAUGGAUUUUCUGUGGAAUUUUCAAGAAUACACUUUUCCCUUUUGGUAUUAUAAGUAUAACCCUGAAAAUUUUGCUACAGACAGAUAUACCCCAUGUAGCCAAGAAGCCUCCUGCUAUCUCUUGAGAUGAAAGAAGGUUCCUCCAUCUCAGGCAGGCAUAAUUUUUUGCUCACAAUAAGGCAACAAGUGAGAGGAGCAUACCUUAAUGUAGUUGUCCCAUGCUUCAUCCUUGGCCGUGAUAAUGCCUGUGUUUUCAUCCCAAUUAAAGUCACUUUGAUCAAGAAGUGACUUGACAAUGACAUAUUGCCUCCUCAACACAGCAUACCGGUUCUUCAGUUGCUCCUUGUCCCAUUUCAAUCCUGUUUUCUUGAAAAAGUCAUCACACAUAUAUUUCCAUGCUUUCUUUCCAAAAGAAUUGUUCUGCCUAUUCCCCUUUCGGACCUGGUCAACCAUCAAGUCUGCAAGUAUCUUAGUGAGGGAUGCUGUCCACUUAGCCCUCGGCUGUUGCUCAUGCUGUUGGUAUGGUCUCCUCAAUCGAGUGGGCCGGCUAGCCAUCUGCAAUACCACAGAACAAAUAUAAGAAAGAAGCAGAACACAUAGCCAAACGCAUAGCCAACAUCACAAGAAACAACAAUUAGGAAGGCUGCUCAAAGAAUCCAUAUUAUAUGAAAUAUAUUUUUUUUUAUAGACCCUAUUAUAUGUAAUAUAUAGCAACUGAGAGAAGUCAAUAUCAACAGGUACUAGAAGUCUAGAAUGACGAGUAUUGGCCCAUGUCCCUAAAAAUUAAAGGAAAAAGGAGAAGUUGAAAAUAAGCAUAUGUGAGUGCUGCAAAAUAUCUUCUUCAACCUCCAAAGCCUCCACCACCCAAAGCAGACCUCUGUCAAAUUCUUCAAGAAGUGUCCCAUAUUUUUGAGAAUCACUCCAAUAGUGUUCAGUAUAUUAUCAUGCAUGAGCAGGUUACAAUUCUAAAGAUGCAAUACUCGUUAGCAAGCAUGGGGCAUAUGGAGAUUUUCAUUUUACUUUUUUUCACAUAUAGAAGUAUGAAAUUUAUGCCCAUGUCACAAGCCAAAGCCUUGAAAAGAUCACUAACAGAAUACCAAAUUUAGAAGCCCAUUUUCUAUUGGUAAUGUGUCAACACCUUGACCUAGAAGAUGUGGCACCAAGGCCUCAUGAGUUUGCACCUUGCACCCCAUGAAUUCCUAUUGAACAAGGCAAGGUGAUGACCGAGGCUUACGAGUGAUCGUAUGGAGGCUUGGUGAUUUCUUGAGGUGCAACACACAUUGCUAGUAUAGGCAACACGUGGUGUGGUUCAACACAACCAGAAUUCAAGUGUGGGAUUUUGGGUGGCUGGUUUUUUUUUCUUGAAAGAGGAGGAGGUUUCUGAGUGGAAUUUUGAUUUUUUUGGAACUUUUUUUUUUUUUUUUGGAAGGGGCUGCAUGACUAAAGGUCAUGAUGGUGACACAAACUAUGCCACAUCAAAGGCACGACAUGAGGAGUUUGGACAUGAGCAAGGUACGAUGGUGAGCCUUGCUAGCAUGCUAAGCACAAUGCCAUGGGGUGUAGUGCAACCCUUGAGCACAAUGACACCAUGCAUGGCUAUGGCACACAGAUGAGCAUGCUUGACUUGGUUGGAAGGACCAGAUGGAUUGGCACACACAUCAGCCAACAUAGCAACACAAGACAAUGAGCUAAGAGGGGGUUUAGCAUCACGCAAAUUGCAAACAUGUGGACAAAGAGAGGGCUUAGCACAUGAGCUGCCUAGAGACACAAGCAACGAGUGAUUUAUGCAUGGGCUACCCAAACAACGCAAGUAGACUGAUGCUCACAACAUCAGUGGACUGACAGUAAACAUGGCACAUGAAGGGGACCUUGGUAUUGGGGCAGGACCAAGGAAGGGGUUUCCAGCACUACAGGCUUGAUGCUAGUGAGCAGAGAAUGAGGCUAAACACUUGGCAUGAGCCAAGCACAUUUCUCCCAUAAGAAGGUAGGUGGCAAGCACAAGUACAAGGUAGCAACUAAAUCCCUAAAAUGGUGGUAUGGGCUAUUGAGCUUAGGAACAUGUGGCAGCCAUGAAAAAGAAGGCAUUGCAUGCAGCUUGUAGCUGGCAAGACCAAAAGCAAUCAUGGACAUGUGAAAAUGGUUGAAGCUUGCAGACAAGCUGAAUUUGAGUUUGAAUUUUUGAAUUUUAAAGGAUUUGAACUUGAAUUCAAAUAAUUUGUUCAUAGAAAUGUGGGCAGUUGUUGUCUGGUGAUGCCUAUAGAUAGGUGUGCCCUCUAGCCAUUCAAAGCAUGAACUCACUAAGAAAGAGUGUGGGAGUGUUGCUUAAGAGAAGGCUGAGUAUUCUUGUAAAUUCGUUAUAGAUGUAAUACAAGUUGGGGCAGAGUUACCCUAUAGUCUCAUGUUGCCUUAUCCCUUUCUUGUGGCAAUCUUGUGUGGGUAAACAUAGGCUAGCUUAAAGGGCUUCUAAGCACUAUACAAUGCGAAAUAAAAAAAAUUGUGGGGGAACAUUUGCAUUUGUGACAUAAUGGAUGUAAAGUCAAGUUUUGGCAUGACUCUUGGUGCGGUGAAGGAUCUCUAAAGGACCAGCUCCCAGGAUUAAUCAAGGUUGUUAGAUUUUGUCAAUAAUAUAGGGAUUGGUUAACCAGUCAAUGUUUGUGGUUUUGUUUCUUUCUUGUUUGUUUGUGUUUCCGUAUACUUCGUGUGUACAUAGGUUGCACCCCCUUCUUUUGUUAAACACUUAUAUUAGUAUAUUUAUUCUAUUUUUCCUAUAAAAAAAAAUAUAUACUAGGAUAUUAGGCACAGAGGGUUGAUAUUUUACUAGGUAAAUUAAUGUCUCAAAUGGCAAAAAAAACCAUCCUGCCUUGGAAGAUAAAUUACUAUGAGCCAUACUUGGCAUUUAGGUAUCCACUUCAAAGGAAACUUGCCUAAAACAACCUAUAGGUGCUAAAGGUCUAACCAUUUGUGUAGUGGGUCUAGAAAAACGGAGAAAUGAUUCUUAAAUAAAUUUCAUAGAAACAUGAAAUUAAAGCAGGUGAUAGAAGUAGCUAGGAACCAUGGACAUGGAAAUUUAUAAGUUCUCCAUCUUGCUUAGCCUUGAAAAACAUAAUGUCGAUUUCAUUUAUAGUUAAUUAUUUAAUAAUUAAUAAUAAUGAGAAAUGCAUAGCUGCUAAAGGCUGAACUAUUGAUGUACAAUAGUUCUAGAAAAAGGGAGAAAUGAUUCAUAUCUAUAAUUUGUCGAAACAUGAAAUGAAAGUAGGUGAUAAAGUAGUUGGGAGACAUUGGAAAGAAGAGAUCUGAAAUUUAUUAGGUUCUCUAUUUUGCUUAGUCAUGAAAGACAUUAUGUCAAUUUCAUUAAUAGAUAAUUAGUAAAUAAUUAAUAAUUAUAAGAAAUGCAUAAUUUAUUAUGUAAUUUAACCAUCAUAAUUUAUUAAUUUAGUAAUUAAUAAUCAUGAGAAAUGUCAUGGCAUACCCUCUUUUAAAAGAAUCAAUAUCGUUUCACACUAAAAGACUAUCUGCAUUCACUCACAACACCCACAUCUCUAAGGGAAUAGUAUUUAUAAGAAACAUUAGCUCCCAUAAGCACUCCAUAUCACUUGUAAAAGGUUAUAGAGCCAAUAACACUACAUGUCUCCAAUGUUAGAAGAUUCCAAAGGACUGAUCCUUGCAUGUACAACAUAUAAACUACAUGCAAAUCAAUUAGGAUAGGAAACAAAACCACCUCUGCAUGUUCACAUCAACUCCCCCACAAAGAAAUAAUUUAUUGAUGCUCCACGUAAUAACAUAAUAAAUAAAUAAAUAAGGAAAAAGAGGCUAGCCAAUUUCAACUCAAUGCAGAUAAACAGAAGAAAAAAAGGGAAGAGACAGUAUAGUCACAUUCCUCCUAUAUCCCCUAACAUAACAACCAACAUCAUGCAAGUUCCCAGGCAACAAGGAGAUUUAUUCCCUUGUUUUAAUUGGGUAGGACAUUGGUGAUCCAGUAGCUAGUUAAAAAUAGGAUGCUGUAUGGACAGACCCCAAAUUGCAGUUUAGGUUGCUCAUAUACACAAAACCUGCCAAAUAGUUUAGAGACUCAUGUAGAAACCAAAUCUUAAAUUUCAAAUGCCAAAUUCAAGUCCAAGUUUUAAAAAUUGAUUCUAAGUUCUGACAGUGCUUUCAACUCAACCUGUUCUCUGACAGCAAAAAAAGGGCCAGACAUUAGGUAAAGGGAUCUGUUGAAUUGGCCCCUGAAUAAAGGAAUUUUCUAAUAAAUUUGAAUUUAAUCAAAUGUUAUCUAGUAAAAUUAUCCUCCAAUACAAGUAAAGAAGGGUGCACAUAUGCAUAAAGAUUAGCCAAAAUUCAGGUACAUGUUACUGGAGUUUUUAACAUUCUAGUCCAUAUAUUUAUAUAAUCUCCCAUGGAAAAUGUAUUAGAAAUAGAAUUGUCAUAUUUAAGAGCCUAAACUUUUACGAACCCAAAUUCAGCUCUGUAUGAAAGAGAAGAAUUAAAAAAAGAAAAAAGAAAACAACAACAACAAACAAACAAAACAAAACAAACAAAAAACAUCAUAUCAUAUCAGGAAGUAAGAAAAAGACUAUCUCAAGAACCGCACUUGAUGAAAUAAAAUAGUAUAUUAAAGGUUGUAACACCCACAGUGUGUUUGCUUGUAUACCUGGUUUCAACACACGCUCAAAAUUGUAGGCAAGUUUGAAAGAGGUGGAAUUCCAUUAACACGGGCAAUGUAAGGCAAUUAUUUCGAACAAAGUUGAAUAGAAAUCAUCUUUUGAGAGACCCGCAAAAGGAGGAAAAAGAAACUUGACAUUAGCUUUCUAUACAGUAAAGAUGGGCAUUUCUCUUAAAAGAGAGCAGCAACAGGAGGAGAGAGGAUCCUGCGCUGGGGUGUCUAUGUGCUAUAGGUAUAGAUGUCUGAUAUGCACGGAGGCAGGCGGUAGCCGUUUGAGAGUUAAAAGUCCUUAUGAGAAUACAGUAAGGGCUAAGUUUGAUUGAAUAGAAAUCAAUUAUUUAGUUAAUCCUAGCACCAAAUUAGCCUAUCCUUGAAUUCUACAGCGAACUUUGGGUGGGGGAAGGGGAAGAAAAGGGAUUGACACAAAAUUCGAAUUUCAUUGAGAGGGAAUUUGGGUAUUUGAACUCCGCCCAGACGGGAUAGAGUUUAGAAGGCAUUGAGCCAAAGGUUGAAAUAGAAACAGGAGAGCAUCCCCAAUCGGUUCUCAAUUCACACAUUCAGCUUCCUCCUCUGUUUCUCUAAACCUUGCAAUCUCUGUUCAUCAUCCAACAAUCAAUAUAAAACCCUCAAAAAACUCUUGGGAUUCUGUCAUACAAGGUUCCUUAAUUCUAUGAGAAGAAGAAGGGAAAAUGAGUUUUGGAUUAGGGUUAGAGUUAGGGUUAGGUUUAGGGUUACCUGGAGGAAGAUGCCGUAACCGUUUGUUUCGUCUCUGUUCCUCCCGCGCUCUCGCUCCCUGUCUCUUCCUCACUUGAAGCCAGCGGUGAAAACCAAACCCAUUUUUUUCAAACUGAAAAACAAAUAAAAUAUAAUAAGUUUACUGGUUGAAGUUUACCUUAAUUAUUAAAAUUUCAAAAUUUUCUCAAAUCUAUAUAUAAAAAAUAUUAAAUUUGAAUCAUUAAAAGGAAAAAAGAGAUCGAUAGAUACAUCGUGUGGGCCCCGUUCCAUGAAAGUAAAAUAUAAUAAUAAUAAUAAUAAUAAUAAAUUUGAAAUUUGAUUUAUUAAAAAAUUAAAUAAAUUUUAAAAUAUAAAAAAGCCAUAUAUUUUUAUAUAUUUAAAUUUUAUAUAAAUAAAAUAAAUAUAUAAAAAUAAUUUAUCUCUUUUUUUUUCUUUCUAAUUUUCUUUUUAUUCUUUUCUUAUAUACUUGCUAUUAAAUUUCCUAAGAAAAAAAAAUAUAUAUAUAUAGAAUUCAAAUUUCUUUUUUUAUGAUAAAUAUGACAAAUUGAAUAAAAUAUAUUAAGCAAUUUGGAAAUUUUAAUAUUUAAAUAAAAUAAAUAAACUCCAAAUUAUUCCGAUAUUUAUUUCCUUUAAUAUCUGGGAGCUAGUCUCCACCAAAUUACCAACUCUUUCUUUUGACUUUUUGGUUAAAAGCCCUGGAAAUGCUGAGGUCUCAUCAAUGAAAACUAGAUGUCAAAAUUUUAGAAGAAAAAUAAGAAAGAAAGAAAUAAGAGAGGAGAAAAUUUUGUAUCCUUGGUAGGUGGGAGGGAUGAGAUUAUCCCUUUCAAAUAUAAAUCUUCAGUAGUGUCAAAAUUGGUAACCAUACAAAAUGUCAAAGGGAGAGAGAUAUAAAAUAGAGAGUAUGAAAAAUGAAACCCGAUCAUCUUAUUGAAGGAAUCAUCAGAGUCUAUUUCAACUUUCUUUACAGUGACAGCAUCAGUGGAUUUGGAUGUCAUAUCCUCUCCAUUGGUAGAGCAGGUUAAUAUCUGUCAGCACCAUGGAAAACAAAAGAAGAAAAUAAUGCUCAACACAAGGAAAAAUUACACUGAAACAGAUACCAAAAUCUUAUCUAAGAGGGUCCGAGCCAUAACUGUACCAGCUUAUCCUGUCAAUUUUUUAUCCUGCAACAAGUGCUUGAUGGGUUGUCCCAGAGAUGCAGUCUGCAUCUGAAUUUUUCCUGAAAUGCUGUUGUGCCACUAAUUUUCCAUGUGCUGGGCCAUAUGAGCUUACCGUUUACCAUCCAUGUGGACUCCAGAAUAACAAAUGCAAAUUCAGUGAAGGCCAUUCGGAAAUAUGCAAGUAGAAUAUCAAAGUGGCCAAUAUCAGGAAAAUGCAACAAAAGGCCUCUAUUUCACUAGGCAGUUACUGUGCACUUUCAGUUCUCCAAACCAUUGGAACCUUUAGAUGGCAAGGAUAGUAUGUUUUGCCAAGGUUUUCCUUUGUGGGUUAACACACCAUGUUUGUAUUACAUAAUGGUCUUCAACUUGCCGACUGGCAUGGAUUCCCUGCAUUUCCAGGGUAACUUGUAUAAUGGAGAAUGCCUCAAAUCAGAUAUGCUUUUGAACUGAAAAUACUAACUGAUCUGGGCAAAGUCAAAUUGAGCUACUUUACAGGUUGAGAGAUAUACAGAGGCCCAACUUGCUACUGAAGUCACUCAUGGUGCUUACCAAUCUUCUAUUUCAUCAUCAGAAAUCUCAUUUUCCUUUUCAUCCAAAAUCAUACUAUCAUUGUCAUCAAGUUCUGUCUCAUUGCCCUGUAUUAAUGCCUGAUAAUCUUCAAAACCCCCAGAUGCUCCAUAUCUAAGCCAUUUAAAUAUAGGUAUAUACUCAGUAGCAAUAACUGAUACAUUAGAUGUGCUCAAAGCAACCAAUCUCUGGCCUAGUAUCUCACACUGUAAUCACAAUCAGAAGGCAAAUUGAAAACAUUAUAAGCGAAGUUAUAAUAAUUGCCACCAGAAUUUAAUUUGCAACUUGCUUCAUGAGCAUGAAACCAGUUAAUGAUUUUCUUGGGUAUUGCCCCUGAAGGAGGAAGAAAUUUAUUUGUAACCCACCUUAUUAUGUAGUGAGGAUUGCUCAACCUGCCAGAGCUUUGGGCGGCGAAUAGCAUGCCACCUGCAAGCCCAAAAAAAAUUGGUGAUGAAGUUCUACUUGUUAUUGUUUAUACAAAAGUAAUUAAUUCAAGCAUAUAAGGACCUGGAAGCCAAUGGGUGUGAAUUUCCAAAUAGCACUCCACGGGCAGCAACUGAAGCAGCAGCUGAUUGUAGAACAUUCCCUGCCUCAUAACUUGUGGCUAACAUUCCACGAUGAGCAGCAAGAAGGAAGUCAGAAUCACUUAAAUAUGAAGCCACAGCUGAUGCAUCAUCAAUUGCUUCCUCACUCAGAAAAUCUAAAACUGCAAGCAAAUUGCACGCAAUAGCAUUGGAAAACUGUGGCAUCUGAAUAGGAAAAAAUCCAACAGCAACACAAGUUGCCAACAUUUUGCUGCCUCUCAUUCAUGUACCAAUGAAUUUUUUCCUCUUAAACUUUUACAACAUUACAGUAGAUGAACUCAGUAGUGAAUAAGGCAGCUGCAACGUAGCUCAUCCACAAUUCACAAAUUUAUAUCACUUUUCAAGUUAUGGCUGAUGGGAUUAUCAUCUGGGUGAGCUAUGGUUUCCUAGAAAUUUUGAAUAGUCAAAUUUUUCUAACUGAAUUUCAACAAAUGAUUAUAAUCCUUUAUUUAUUUUUAUUUUUUUUAUAGGUCAUAAUCCUAAUUUUUUUUAUUCAAAUCAUUGUUUCAGAAAGUUCAACCAAAUUUUCUACAGUUCACAAAUUUCUCAUUUUUUCCUUAUGUGAAAUUAAGAUUAGAGCCUUCAUGUGAUCUGCCAACAAACCAACAAACAAUUUUUCUGGUUUUAGAGUUUACACAUGUUGGAGUGUAUAAUAUACAUUGUGGACCCAAAUUCUAAAAGUUUUAGCUUGUAGGAAAAUUGGCUGUCCAACAUAAGUUUUUAGAAAAAUCUGGUUGUCCAAUAUAGUAUAAAAGCCUCAUUGGGUGAGAGGUCAUGUGUUCGAACCUUACCGCAUGUUUAUUUCCCCCACUUGAUUAAGCCCAAAGGAGGAUGUUUGUGGUCUGUUUAUCUGUGGGUUUGUGUAUGCCUAUGUCUUUCUCCACAUGUGGAUAUGGGAUCACAAGGGAGAAUGUUAGAGUGCAUGAUAUACAUAGAAAGCUUAAGAUUGUAGGAAAUUUGUUUGUCCAACAAUGCACACACAUGCAUGACAAAAACUUCAAUACACAUCCUCAAAUGUUGCUCACCACAUUAACAGUUAAAGAAAAUCAAAACAGUGAAUUAUAAAGGAAUAAUAAGUGAAGAAUCACAGUCACUUCAGUUAUUUGUAAGCUCAGCAAGAAUCCUGAAUGCUUCCACAUAACAGUUUUUGAGUAUAAACAGCAGAACGUUACAAUCCUAAAUAAUGAUGGAAAAAAAUAUUCAAGAAGAGAGCAACUUGAAGCUCACCAUUUUCAUGCAGAAAAUCAACAACAGGUCUUGCUUGCACAUGUGCUUGACAAAGAACCCUUUCUGGAGCAUCCAUUUUUAACGGUAAUCUUGUCAAUCUUUCCCUCACAAGAAAUGCUUCCUGGCCUUCAAUACAAGAACAGGAGCUUAAAAAAGAGGAUAAAACAAGUACAUGAUACUAAAACUCACCAAAUUUUGUACCCACAGCUCCUAUUGGAGGCACUACAAAAUGAACUUGUUCCUCCAGAAUUAGCAAUUUUAUCAAAAUCAAACUGGCAAACCAGUGACCCAGAAGUGCCAGUCUGGGAUGACCACUGGGUCCUUUAGGCCUCAAACCCAAACAGAGGAUGAAUCUUUAAUUAAAAAAAUUGCAAAGAUCAUGAAUCAUAGGACUUGAACCAUGCAUGUCAAGAGUGCAAAAUCAGGACAGACCUGGGGCAAUUGCAUUUUCACUCUCUCUUUUGUUAUGCAGAAAUUUUCCCAGGGCAUGAAAUAGGGAAAGUGUUUCAUCUCUGCCAAAGGGUAAAGAAAAUCCAUCAUCCAAAGGAUUGAGCUCAUCUGAUUUUUCUUUCGAAUAAGUGCGGGCAGGCUCGGAAAAAGAUAAAGAAAGCAUCGGGUCUGGUUUCAGACAGAAGUAUUGUAAAGAUGUAAUUGCAUGUCUGACAUCACCUCCGCUAGAUCUUGCUAUUAGAUCAAUCUGAUCAGCAGUCACACCACACUGCUCUUGUCUGCAUAUUUUAGAAAGUGUCUUCUUAAUGGAGUUACUUGUGAUGGGAUUGAAAGCAAUCUGAAAUUUCCACAACCAGUUUAAAAUGAGCAUUUAAUAAUGAGAAAAUAGGGAACACCAAAUCAAACGGGUCAAACAAUGCAACCUUACAAGCCCCAGCAUUCUCCAGAGACAACUGAAGUUCUUCCAAGCAACGGGCGGUGGCAAUGUUGUCUGCAGAGUCAGCUUUACCAUAAUCGGUGAUCAAUAUAGCCGUUGGAAUCUGAGUUGAUUGCGCAAGAAGUUGCAAGCAGUUGCGAAGUCUUCUAUAAGAAGCAUUUCCAUUGGUCACAGGAAGAUCAUCAAUUAAAAGUAUGACGGAUGAUUUGGAUUCUCCAGCAAAGGACGGUGGGAUUAAACCAUAUUUCCUCAUCCUCUCAACAAAACUUUCAAACUCAUCCAACUUAGAUGUGUAGCGUAUCCCUAGUUAUGUCAUAUAACAUGGUCACUAUGAGAAAAUAACAAUCUUAUAAUAAUUUGUGCACCCAUAAUUUCUUAGCAAUAUAACAGAAACUGCCAACAAUAUAGUCCCUACAAGGAAAAAAUCUUUUAACCUCUAGGACAUUAAAAAAAAGAUAAGACUUAUUAAGUAUUGUUGCAGUUUGAGCCCCAAAUUUGGAUUUACCAAAAGCAAUUAUGAAUCAGUAGAAAUUGCCAAAAAAAAUAUAUGCCGCAUAAUAAUUAACUCCCACUGCUAAAAGAUGUCAACCACUUCUCUGUUUUUAGAUACCUAUAUGUUCACCAUACAGAGUGCACACCAUUCUACUUAUUCAAAAGCAAUAAUUAAACCGUGGCAUCCCAUUCAUCUUACAAGGGAGAUAGUUGGUCAACUAGAUGUGACAUGCAUAUAAUUCUGAUAUCCAAUAAACAUUGCAGUGAACUUUGGGAGAGAAAACAAACUAAAAUUCCUGCAUUCUGCCAUUAGGUGGGAUGCAGGGUCAGGCUGGGCAGAUAGCCAAUUUACUGUUCAAUGCAUUGCAAUGAGCAAUUCCAAUCUCAAAAGAAUGGGAUCCACAGAAACAUCAUAUAAGUUGAGCAAUGAAGCACCGACUUUUGCAAUGUCCCCAGCCUGACCUAAGCAUGCCUCUAGUUACUCAAUGAAAAACAUUUAAGUGCAAUACCUGAAUUUGUGUUAUGCAGAUGUUCUUGCCAUAUAGUAGGAAUAGGCGUGUUCCAUUCACAUAAUCUCGCUCCAAGAUGAGACGCAAUGGCAUGGAUAGUUGCCUACAAGGUUUGAUUCAUAAUUCUUUAGAAUGUCAGUGGGUUAUGCUUAUAAGAGCAGUACAAAACUAAACUAAACCCUUUGCAGUAUUCUUAUUUAUUUAUCAACAUAAAACUUUCUUCUACAAAUUGAAGCUAGAACAAUUUGCAAGGAAAAUUGCAAUUUUAUCAAUAUAAUUCCAGGUUAUGCUUUUAAGAGGCUUAUGUGAAUACCCAUACACGACAUCAAGCAACAAUACUUGAGUUCAAGUUAUGCCCAACAUGAGAAUAUCAUUUAGGACAUGGAAAAACAGAGCUACAACAUACAGAUUUCCCAACUCCAGCUUGUCCAGUGAUGACAAGAAGAUUGCACAUUUCUUCCUGUAAACAACAACAAGAACUUGAGCCACAAUCUUAAUGGAAUACAAUAAGCCUCAGAAAUGGAAGAAAAGGAAACAAAACUAAUGCAAAUAUGAGCACUUUAAUGUUUAUAAUUUUAGUUACAUAACAGCUUUGUCCAUCACAAUAACCUUAAGAAUCUUCACUUUUAUGCAUUAUCAUGGGUCUCGAAACAACAGAACAUGGACCAAUGCUGGUUAUGUUCCCAAGUCCAUGUGCUGGAGGCAACUUACCCCUGUAGGAGAUUGAAUUAACUUGUACAUCUGUGUUAUAAAGUGCAAUACAUGAAAUCUAUAAUCACCGCAUUUUUAGGAAUUAUUGGUUCAUAAUAAGCAUCAUCACAAUCAUCAUUCAACUGGGCCCAAAUAUCUGGGUCAGCAGGAUGAAUUCUGCUAACAAUUCCAUACCAUUUUAAGCCACCUUGAAAGACACCAGCAGUAUCAGCAAAGAUUUUGACAAUUCUUACAACAUUGCCAAUCUUAGUUGAAAUUAACAACCCAAAGCAAACCUUUAAAUCAGCAUAAUUCUAUAGUCACUUGUGUCAUAAUUAAAAAAAAAAGUUAUAUUUUGAAAGGCCUUCAUAAGAAGAACCCAAGCUCAAAAAUGGCAAAUAAAAAUCAGACAUCCAUAAUCCAUUCCAUGGGAAUUUACUAGAUCCUAAACACCCCAUCACAAUCUAGUUCCCGACUCAGCAAAAUUCAGUGUCUUUACUGAAACUAUAGAAAUAUAGAAUCUCAAAACUAGUUUUCUCAUGCUUAAUGGAGGAAUGAAGCAUGUCAAAAUAAGUAAUAUUGUUGUAAUACCCUUGAAGUUCUCAAUCUUUUCUCAAACCAUACUGUAACUUCUUCAACCUGCAAAAGCAAGGACAUGAUCUGUCACUAAAACAUUCAUAUUUGUAAAACAACACAAACUGACUAAAAUACUCCUGUUUGUGAAACAACAUAAACUAACUUGACCUUUUUCUUGUGAACAGCAAGUUCCUCCAAGGAUCGAGGUUUAUAUUUAUCAACCCAUAACUCCUUUCCUCCACACCUACUAGAACCUGAUUCGUGUUUCAACUAUCUUUCAGCUAAAAUGGCUCAGAGAUCAACGAGAAAUAAAUGGAUUACAAGAAGUCUCACACCACAAUGUGGAAUUCAUAACUUUAAUUUGAAUCAGUAAAUAUAUCAUUUGAAACACCAAUACCAGCUCCAUAGAUUUUGCUUAAACAUAAAAAACAUUCCAAACCUGAUCUCCUAAGCUUCUAGUAUAUAGGGACAUAAAUUGGUUUUAUAUCAAAUAAACAUCAUUAUGCAUUGGCAUGUGGAUAAGUUGCAUCAUGGCCCUAAAUGUGAAAGAUGAUGAUGAUAAUAAUAUCAGUUUACAAAGAGAUUCUGCCUCCAACAAGCACAGAAUGAAUGCAGAACAGUCCACAAUGUGCUAGGGAAAAUAAGCUACAGCUUCAAGCCAAUUGCAAUUUAUUUCAGAAGAAGAAACUAUGAGAAUAGCAUACCAGCAGAUACCUUGAAACCUGUAAGCCCUUCACCAAAUUCUUCACAAAACAAUCUCAUCUGCAACAUACAAUGUCAAACUGCAAAUUGUAAGUACUCUAAGAGAAAACAUCAGAUUACAGAACAACCCAAUUCUCUUAAUGAAAUGAUAUUAAGAAUCUGCAAAUCAUAAACUUUCAUUUAAGCUGUAUGCAUGCAAUACUUGUUUGUAUGCCACUGAAGAACCUGUUCUUCAAAUAUAGUACGCAUGUAAAGCAAAACCUACUCCACAAAACAAGCAAAUCAUCAUUGGAUUCACAUAGAACAUAGAUUUCGAAACGUAUAAUCAUUUUGUGAUUUUUUUCCUCCACUAAUUUCUUCCAUGAAAAAAUACUUCUUUCUAUGCUUCGACUAAGGGUUAUAACUGAUUGUCAAAUCGUUAUAAAUUCGACAUGAGUAGACCCACAGUCUCAAUUCACUCUAUCAGCACAAACUCAUUUCUUUUCCAGACUUCAUUACCGACCAAAACAAACAAACCAGGUUCAGUUUGGACCAAUUCCAAACCAGCGAGAACGAUUCAACCAUGUUCACCAAUCCACAACACAUUUAUUAAAUAUAUUAAACAUAUUAAACAUAUUAAAUACCUCAUCGAACACACUGGAAUCUCUACACAAGCGAGACUGAGAACCAGAAAUCCGAGCCUUCUUCGCUCCGCUAGGGUUUUUACGCCUCGAUUUGCACCUCGAAUAACCCCGCUUUGAAUUGAAUGAACCAUCUUUUUCUUCAUCCUCCGAUGAAGAAACCACAAUGGUGCUCCUCUUGCUCAUUACUGUCACCACUGAAACCCUGCUCUGUUAUGCUUCCGUACCGAUGAUUUCAGCUGCAAUUUAACAAAAACCCUAGAACAGCAUGGAGCUUCUUCAACGAAACCCUACAUUGAGAAUCGUAAAGAGAGUACCGAGACUUCAAAAACAGAGGAACCGAGAUCGUAGAUUGGAGACCAAAGUUGCUGGGAAUCUAAUAUAUAGAGAGAGGGCUCGCGGGUUCGAAAAAACGCGGGUGUUUAUCAAUUAUCAUAGCGUAGCCGAGAAGCCGAUGGAAAUUAAUAAUGCUACGGUGCAUCGCGGUCUAUUUUAAUAGCUGUAAAUCACCAACCUGAUGGAAAAUUUAUUUUAUUUAAAAUAAUAGUCACAAUCAUGAACCCUUGAAUAACAAAAAGUCUUAUCAUAAGAUUCAUAACUAACCAAAAUAUUUACUAAAAAGGAAUUUCCAUUGGACAUAAGAAAUAGGGAGAAUAAUGUAAUAGUCUCCUAUCUAUAAAUAAAUAAAUUUUUUUAAACUUUGAAUUUUUGCUUUUGAAGUUCAUUCAUUUUGGAGAAAAUAAUCCUUAAAAAUGCACUUAAAUAAUAAAAAAUCCUUAAUAUGUCAAAAUUACCCUCAUCAUCCGAAUUUCAGCAGUAGAUUAUCACCAAUUUUAUUUUAUUUUUUUACUUUUACAUCACUCACCACUCAUUAUGAUUAAUAUUUAUAAAAAAAAAAAAAUUGACAUGUGGCAACCUCAUUCGAUUUUUCUUUUUUCUUUUUUUUCCUCCAUAAUACUUCCACAUUUUUUUUUGUUUUUUUAAUAUGUUGGCUUCAUAAAAAAUUUUAAAUUUCAAUUUUUUCCACAAUUUUAUAUUUCAUAUUUAUUUAUUUUAAUUAUUUAUGAACAUUUUAAACAUAAAAUAAUAAUAUAUAAUAAAUUAUUAAUGAGAACAAAUUUAAUAUAAAAAUAAAUACAUAAUAACACAUUUAGAGAUUUAGGACAUAAGAUUUUCUAUAUUCCUAAAACAUAAGAUUUUUUAUUUUAUAAAUUUUAUUAUAUUUUUAAUUUUCAUGUGAAAAUCAAAAUUGAUGAUUAUGGUUUUAAUUUUUUUUGUUUAUAGAUCUAACUUCACCACGGUUUAAACUUUUCUUGGGUUAAAAUGUUUAAUAUUUUUAAUUAAAAAAAUGAAAACUUGGUUGUGGUUUUAACACUUAACAUUUUGCUUUGUUAAAAUUUAAAAUUGUUUAUUUAUAUAAAAUAAAAACAAAUUAUAUUUUUCAUUAAAAAAUGUAUUUAAUGAUUUAUAUUAUUUUCUCUUAAUUUUGUUAAAAAUUAAAAUUUUUGUUAUGCAUCCAUCAACAUAACUCUUUGGAAAAGAGAAUACCACACUUGUUUGGAAAAAAAAAAAAAUACCACUCUUUUGUGAAAAAAAAAAAAAAGUAACACAAAAAUAUAUCAAUAGUACCAAUGUGAUGGGAAUGAUGUACCAAUCUUCUUUGAUUUUCUAGAAAAAAAAAAAAAAAAAAAGGAGUAUCACUCUUUUAUGAAAAAAGUAGCACUAACUAACGUAUAUUAAAAGUAUCACAAUAAUGGAAAAGACAUAUCAUUGUUUUUUGGUUUAUGUUAAGAUAUGCAAAAAAAUUAAUUUUUAAUAAAAAAAAUUAAUAUAAAUGAUAAAAUACAAAUUCUUUAUGAAAAAUGUAUUUUAUUAUUCAUUUUAUAUAAUAAAAAUUAAAAAAUUUAACAAAUUAAAAUGAUAUAACCACAAUCAAGUUUUUAUCUUCUUUAAUUAAAAUUAUUAAACAUUAUAAUCAAUAAAAAAAGUUAAAACCAAGACGAAUUUACAUGUCUAUAAGUAAAAAAGUUAAAUUUGUUUAUUAUGUAUUUAUUUUUAUCUUUAUUUAUUUAUUAUAUGUUAUUAUUAUUAUUUUAUAUUUAAAGUAUUCAUAAAUAGUUAAAAUAAAAAAAAUGAAAGAGUGAAAAAAAUGAAAUUAAAAAUAUUUUUAUGAGAAUAUGUUAGUGACAUAUUAUAAAAAAAGUCAAAAGGUAAAAUAAAGAAAGAGGAAAAAAAAAUAUAUUGUUGCAGGUUGAUUGCCACAUGUCAAGUUUAAUUACAUUGAUAAGCAUGAUUGAAAAAAAAAAUCAUACGGCAUGGUUGAUUGUCACAUGUCAAUUUUCUUAUAAAAAAUAACAAUAAUAAAUAAAAAAAACUUAAAAUAGUUAACAACGGAAGAGAGAAAAAGUGAAGGAUAAUUUUGAAAUUUUGUUUGUGUUAUUGUUAGAGUGCAUGUUUUCAAAUUACUUUUUAAAAAAUCUAUAUAUAUAUUGUUAGUGAACCUUUAUAUGAUUUCCCCUAAGAAAUAUUUACCUAAUUAUAAAAUAAAUUUAAAAAUUCUCACAAUAAAUACAUCUUUGACAUGAAAAAAAAACAUUCAUAAAAAUUACUUUUAUCAAGAAAUAUCACAAACUUAUAUAUAAACUUGGUUGAGUAGUAAAUAAUUAACAUAAUCGAAAAAAGUGGAAACAAUAAAAAAAAUUAAUAGUACAUUUAGUAAUGAUUUUAGAAAAUGUUUAUAAUAUUUCUAACACUUAAAUAAUAAAAAAUUUCAGGUAUUAAAAAUAUUGGAAGCAUUUUCUAAAAUUAUUGUCAAACAGACUCUAAAUAUGUUAAAAAAUAUUAUUAAAAUGAUUUUAUGUUAUCAACAUUCUCAUUUGUGUCGCUCUCUUAUAAUAACAUCUUAUAGCAUUCUAUGCAUAUAUGUUUUAUCGUUUCAUAAAAGAGUUUAAUUUCUUAUCAACUCAGUGAUUUAAGUAACAAUGUAGAUUUUAACCACUUUUCCUCAGUAUUUUUUAGUGGAAGUAUUUUUAUUUUUUAUUUUAAAAAAAAAUAGUUGUUUGACAAAUUUUAGGAAAUAUUUUUAAAAUUUUGAAAAAUCACUUAUAAUAUCAAUAAAACAUUUAAUAGGUGAUACUCCUAAAAACACUUUUUUUAAAAAUCACUUUAAGUGGAAACACUAUCAAACGCACUUUGUAUUUUUUCAAAAAAAAUAUUUUAAAUGAUUUUUCAACUCUAUAAGUGAUUUUUCAAAUGAUAAAAAGUGUUUCCUAAACUUUGUUAACUAUAAUUUUUUUAUUUAAAAAAAAACAGUUUUUAGGAUAAAAAAAACUUUCCAAAAUCAUUGUUAAACCAACUCUAUAUUUAUUCAUUAAACAUUAUAAAUGAUUUUUUAAUAUUAUAUGUAACUUUUCGCAUUAUUAAAAAUAUUUUUUAAAUUUUAUCGAAUAUUUAAUUUUUAGGUUAAAGGCAAUCCCUAGAACUGAGUCUUAAUUAGCUGUUUGAGGGACAAAACGAACGUAGCGUAGGUGUGCAGUAGAGUUGGACCGGAAAACAAAAUAUGAUAGAAGCAGGUUGGUUUAAUUUUCAAAACUGGGUGUGCAAACAUGGAGAAUAUUCCCUUGGACUUGUUGGGGGUAUGGAUAGGUACUGAAACCAAUUUCACACUAGAAAAAGAAAGGUAACAGUUGGAAAUGUUAAAAAAUUCAAUCAAAUUUCUAAAUUAGACGAUAUCAUCAUUCUCCCAACUUGUAGGCUGGGUUUCAAAUUUGGCUGCAGGCAGCGGGGGGAAAAAUCCAAGUUGCUAACUUACUAGGCGAUGUAAACAAAAGAAAAAGAAAACAAAAGACUAAUAAAAUAGUAUUUGCCUUAAGACAAGGCUCCUCCCUCCAUUAUUAUAAUCCAAAUUGGCACCCAUCUGAGCUGAUUUAUGAAGCCAUGGUCAAUGGUGGAUGUGUUAUGACUUGUGAGAGGUUUGAGAGGAGAGAUCAGAGAUGACGAAGGAGAGCAUGGGAAUGCAGCAAGUCAUCUGCAUGAAAGGAGGAAAACUGAAAUUUUCCUGAACACCCUUUAGGAAAACUGAAAUUAUAUUUAGUUAUUAAUUGAUUUACUGAACAACCUUUAGGAAAACUGAAAUUUUCUAAAGGAUUUGAAAAUGAGGGGAUUGGCAAACGAAGAAUUUGUAAUCUCCAGAAUUUUGGAUUUUGUUGUUUUGUUGAAUGAUGCUGGUGGAUGGUGGCGGCGGCCAUGAUGUUGGUGAUAGUAACUUCAAAUUAAUUGGUUUAUUUAUGUUGUAUAGACUGCAUUAUCAUCCAUGUCAAUGCCCCUGCUGGAGCAAGCAGUGCUAGAUUUAUGUUGCACCACCUUACCUGAGAGUGUCGCCAUAGCAGGCCUUGGCUGUUCAUCAGGCCCAAAUACCUUUUGCGCCGUCUCCGAAAUCGUGACCAUCAUCUACAAGAGGUGCUGUCAACUAGGCCGGUCACCACCAAGAUUUUGGGUUUUCUCGAAUGAUCUUCCAGGGAAUGACUUCAAUUCUGUGUUCAAGUCAUUGCUAGCAUUCCAUGAAAAGAUGAGGGGGAAAAAUGGAGAGGAGUUUGGGCCAUGUCAUGUUGCUGCAGUUCCGGCUUCUUUCUACCACAAGCUUGCUCCACCCAGAACACUACAAUUUGUGUACUCUGCUUGCAGUCUCCAUUGGCUUUCCCAGGUUGGCUUAUUAUCCAAAUUCAUCUACAAAGAACAUAGUGCCUUAGAUGCUGAUACUUUCAUAGGUUCCUCCGGAGCUUCUUAACAAGCAAAUUUCAAACAAGGGGAAGAUUUAACUUACAAUUUCAAGCUCACCACCUCUCAUAGAUGCUUACGCGGCUCAGUUCCAGAGGGAUUUCUCUUUGUUUCUCAGGUUGAGAGAAGAAGAAAUAGUCCCUGGAGGAUGCAUGGUUUUGCCAUUCAAGGCCAGGAGAACCCCAGACCCAGUCCCGGAUGAGAGUUGUCUGUUGCGGGAUCAAUUGGCACAGGCAUUGCAGGAGUUGGUUUCAGAGGUAUGUGUUGUACACUUCUUUCUUCCUCAUCUCAAGCUGAAACAUAGGCAUGUAACGAAUCGUGUUUCCGACAGGGGCUUAUUGCAGAGGAGAAAUUAGAUUCCUACAAUGUACCAUUCUAUGAACCUUACACGGAGGACAUAGUGACUGAAAUCGAGAAGGAAGGAUCCUUCAGCAUCAACGGCCUUGAGAUCAUGGCCUUACCAUGGGAUAGCCCCUAUGGUGGACAAAAUUAUGACAGGCCAACAAGUGCCCAGAAGCUAGCAAAGGCGAUGAGAGCAGUGCAUGAACCAAUGUUGGCAAGUCAUUUCGGGGCAGAAGUCAUGAACCCUUUGUUUAAAAGGCCCAUGGAGAUCAUUGCAGCAGAUACAAGGGAAGUGGAGCAUGUUGCUGUUCUUGUUUCCACGACCAGAAAGACUUGAUUCCACUCUCAAAUUAUCUCAGUAUUGUCAUAUUGCAUUUGCCUCUCAGACACUUGUUUAGUUAUUUGCAUCUCUCUGUACAAGAUCCAUGGAUUAUUGGACCUAUAUAUCCUAAUGCCUGUUUAGAUAGGGGGAAAGAACAGAUGUCAAAAUGUUAGCCCAGAAGAGAAAGUGGGCAAGGGGGGGCUGGCCAUGUAAGGCUUCCAUUUGCCCAAAAGGUGGCUUGGAACCUGAAAGGUAAUAAAUUGAACUUGAUUUUCUAUUUUAUUAUUUGCCAAAACUAUGUAAGGAAAAUUCUUAAUUAUUUCUUCUUUUACCAUCUCUCUAUUUUUUUCAUUGAAUUUCUCAUUGAAACUUGAAAAUAUGAAAAGUAAAGUAAUAACCCAAACAAAGUUAAAAAGAGUUGGCCACUUGACUUAGUAAGGUACAUGAUAGCAUGUUGUUCUAAAGCUAUUAUGGCCUUCCUAACCCUAAUCAUGGGCUCCCACAAUGUCUUCUAUAUGGACAAAUUCAUGAGAAGACUACCGAGAACCCAUUCCCAAUUUAGUUGCCUAGAAAACGUGAAGACUAAAGAAGAAGAAGAAGACGAUCUCUUUAGUAUUUUUUUUAUAUUUUUUCCCCAAAAAAACAAGGCUCCAAUAACUUGAUCAAACUUAAAAAUUGCUCUAGGUCAACAGCAACUCGCCUUGUCUUCUUUUGAACAUAUUGUCUUGAACCGCAAAAUUUUCAAAUCAUUCAAUUGAGUGCAUUCUCAAGCAUUGUGGUAGGUCUGCACUUAUUGCCAUACAUAGAUCACACUUCUUCUCCAUGUACAAGUUGUUUGACAAAUUCUUUGUCACGUACAAUCACUUCAAAUUGUUUUAAAGUGUUUUUGAUAUUGAUUUUAGAAAACGUUUCUAUUCUUUUUAUCAUUUAAAUGAUAAAAAAUUUUAAAGUAUUAAAAAUGUUAAAAAUACUUCCUACAAUCACUAUCAAACAAACUGUAAAAGUGUGUUUGGUAAUAAUUUUAGGAAGUGUUUUUUAGUAUUUUUAAUAUUUGAAAGAUAAAAAUUUUUAAAUAUUAGAAACACUUUUUAAAAUCACUAUCAAACGCACUCUAAGAAUGCGUUAGACAGUAAUUUUAAGAAGUAUUUUUAUUAUUAUUAAUACUUGAAAUUUUGUAUCUUUCAAGUAUCAAAAAGACUAGAAACGUUUUAUAAAAUCAUUGUCAAAUACACUUUUAGAAUGUGUUUGACAGUAAUUUUAGGAAAUGUUUUUAGUAUUUUUAAUACUUGAAUGAUAAAAAUUUUCAAAUGUUAGAAACGUUUUCUAAAAUUACUACCAAACGAGUUUAAGUAUCUUCAAUUGCUUCUUCAAACAAGUUUACAUUAAGGAAAAAACUACACCAUAAAACAAAUAUAAAAUAACACAAGAUUUAUGGAUAUUCAACAAUGUGCUUAUGUGUUUGGAAGAGAGUGAUGCUCUAUUCAAUAUAAAUUUAUGGAAAUGGUUAAAAUUCUAAGGGCAUGUUUGGUUGCUGUUUUUGAAAAUUGUUCUGGAAAAUAAUUUCUGAGAAUAGUUUUUUGUGUUUUAAAAAAAAAAAAAUUGUGUUUGGAAACUGAAUUAUGGAAAACAGUUUUUAUUCUCAAAAACAAAAAAACAUGUUUGGUUGAGUUAAUAAAAAAGUUUUUUAAAAUAAGUGAAACAAAAAACAUGUUUGAAAUUUAUUUAUUUUAAUUAAUAAAGUGUUUUAUUCCAUUAACUUGAUAUAAUAAAAAUAAAAAUAAUUUUCACAUGCAACAUUCAUUUAAAUUUAAAAAAAUUAUUCUAUUUUGAAAUUUUUACACCAGUUAUAAUUUUCUUAAACAAAUGAUGAUUUUAUCAUUAUGUGUAAGUAUAUUAGUUUCAAUAAUUUUAGGAAGAAGAAAGGGUUCAUGGGUGAGAGUGUGAUGUCCCACAUCGGAUAGGGGAGAAAGUUCAUGACACUAUAUAUGUAGAGACUCUUCUUAACCAAGUAGACGCAUUUUAAACCUAUGAGAGCCCCAUUGGGCUCAAAGCGGACAAUAUCUACAUGGUUGGGUGCGGGUCAUUACAAAUGGUAUCAGAGCUAAUCCUCGACCCUGGUGUGGGGGUUUGUUUGGCCUCAUAAGGGGUGUUUGUUUGUUUGGUCCCGUAAUCCCAUGGGACACAACGAGGACGUUGUGUCUGCAUGGGGGGAUGUUUGUGAUGUCCCACAUUGGAUAGGGGAGAAAGUUCAUGGCAUUAUAUAUGUAGAGACUCCUCUUAAUCAAGUAGGUGGUUGAGUGGAGCUCACAUUUGUGGAAACACAAAAAACAGUUAAGAAAACACAAAAAAAGGAAGAAAAAAUACAAAAAAUAAUUUAUUUUUUGAAUAGUGAAAAAACAAUGAAAACAUCUUUUUAUUAUUUUCAAAAAAAUGAUUUUUGAGAAAACAGAAAACAUAAAAACUAAAAAUACACCUCCUUUGCCAAUCAAAUUUUUUAUGUUUUUUGUUUUCAAGAACAGAAAACAGUUCUUAAAAAUAGGAACAAACAUACCCUAAAGCUCUCUAUGUUUCAAUCAAAGGUUCAAUCACGCCCACAGUGAUCACCAUGCAUUUGUCCUUUUCUUUUUUUGUUUCACAAUAUUUUUUAUUCAUUACGUGAGAAUAUUUCAUCAAGAGAACAAAUUAUGUACUUAUAAAACCUAUUUUAUAGAAAAAAAAUUCGCAAUAUGAAACCCCUCUUUUUAAGAGAACAUCACAAGGUUAGAACUUAUUUGAAUAAAAUUGGUAUAAAUAUUAAUAAUUUAAAGAUUUUUCCCGUUUUUAUUUUUUAAAAUAUAAAUACUUAAAAAAAUAUAUAUAUGUCAUAUGCUAUAAAGUUCUUUUCAAAAUUUUAAAUAGAAGUAACAAUGAGACGGUCUUUUCAAGUAUAUAUAUAUAUGAUAAUAAUAAUAGAUACUUUUAAAUGAAAUAAAUUAUAAAAAUUAUAAUAUUUUAAUUAUUUAUAAAAUAUAUUUAUUUUAAUUUUUUUAAUUUUUUUAAAAAAUAAUUAAACUCUUGACCUCUCUUGUUAACUUUCGGAUGAAGAUGAAAAUUACUUUGAAUAAUAAGAUAUGGUUGGAAUGAAGAUGAUAAAUUAUCCCUAAUUUUAAGAAGUAAAAAAUUUUACUUUCUUAAACUUUAAAAAUUUUAAAGAGUGUUUUCAACUACCUGCUUUUUAAAUAUUUGUACAUAAAUUUUUUUAUAUUUUAUACAAAAUUUUCUAUUUUUAUCCUAACAAACUCACAGCUAUAUUUAAUAAACUUUUCACGAUUAGGCCAACCUAGUGUAGGAGUGCAGUAGGUUUGGACCAGAACACAAAUAUGAUGGAAGCAGGCUGGGUUUCGAAUUUGGCUGCAUGCGCGGAGAAUCUUUUCCAUGGACUCGCUGGAAUAUCGGUGGGUAGAGUAGUUAACAAUUUUUCUUUUCUCUUUUUUUUGUUUUUAUAUAUUUUAAGGCGAAUCCAAAGUGGUUGGGUGAUGUAAACAAAAGCAAAAGAGAAAGAAAACCAUUAGGAGGGCGUUUGGUUUUUUGACUUUUUGAUAAAAAUAAUUUACUUUUAAAUUUUAAGUUUGUUUGUUUUUUUUAUUUUUUAAAUGAUUUAUUAUAAAUUUUUUAUUAAAUAAAAAAAUAAAAUAUUAAUUUUUUUAACUCUCUAAUAUUUAAUAAAAAUAAAUUAUUUAAUAUUUAAUAUUAUUAAGUAUUAAUAUUUUAUUCAAGGUUAAGUAAAAAAACAAACACCACGUAUUUGGACAAUGCAGGACGGAACAAACCCGUCUGGACUUGUCCUCCAUUAUUAUUAUAAUCCAAACCCGCACUCAUCUGAGUUUAUUUUAUAAAGCCAUUGUCAAUGAUGGAUGUGUGGUGAGAGAGUUCAGAGGAGAGAUCAGAGAUGAAGAAGAAGGAGAGCAUGGGAGUGCAGCAAGUUAUCUGCAUGAAAGGAGGUGUCGGAGAGGGAAGCUAUGCCCGUAACUCCAAAUCACAGGUUGGUUUCUCUCUCUCUCUCUCUCUCUCUCUCUCUGUGUUUGCGUUUUUUUGUGAAAGGGCGGCCAGCUCCUUUGAUGGUUUCACUAAAUAGCUUAACAGCUUUUAGAUGUCCAUGGCAUCAAAGGGCUCAACUUGAAUAUGCAAGCUGAAAUUGAUUUUUCAGAAUUCUUUGGUUUGUAGAAGAACUCUUCAGAAAGUGAGAGAAAGUUGAAAUUUUGGGUUAAUAGUUAGCAGGAAUGUGACAAGGAGGUCAGAUCAUAAGAGGACACCAUGUUAAGGUUUUGGAUGGUUUUCCUUUUUUGGAUGCUGAAGCCAAGUCUAGAUUUUUAAAGGGUAAUAAUGAUUCAUAUUGACAGCGCGGAGUUAGGAUUUGAGACCAUUCACUCUUCAUUUCAAAGGGCUUGAGCGCUUGCCAUUGGGGUGGAGUCACUGGACUAAGUUAACCUGUACAUAAAUUUUCAAGUCUUGAUCCCAUUAAGUGAUUUUCUUGCUCUACCACUAAAUAUUGGUAUUGUAAAAUUUUUAUUAAUUAUGAGAAAAUUUGGGAUGGAAAAUUUUUAAUGACUUCCAUAUUCAGCUCUUUCUUUAAGUCAUAACUCUCUGAAUGAAAUUAGAUAAAAAGUUACUUUAAGUUCUUAUCAAACUUAAACAUGAGUUUUUGGCCUCUCUGAAGUCAAUUUUCAAUACCAUCUUAAAUUACCCUUAUUCUGAAAAAGGAUUUAAUUUCUUGGAGAAUGGGAUAAUGCUCUCUUAAGAAGCAAACCAAAAUCAGUGUGGCUGAGUUUAGAAGAAAUAAAACAAAGCCCCAACAGAAUUGAACGGAUCGUGCUGGCCUUUUUAUAUGAGUCUCUUGGCUUUCCUAGGCUCAGGGCCUGGGGCAAUUUGGCCAGGCAAGCUUAGGUAUAAGGACAACAUUAUGGAACUUUGGCUCACGGUAAUUGUUAUAAAUGAGGUAACUUAUUUAAGGUCUGAAAAGUUGAAAUUUUUUAAAAUUAUGUUUGUUUCGAAAAAUUUGAGGAAAAAUACAAGAAAAAAAAAUUAAAAUGAAGGAAAAAAAUAGACUUCAAAUAAAUAAAUUAUAUUUGUACAUUUCUCCAAAUCCAUGUCAUUUAUUUUCCUCCAUUAUAUUUAACUUUCUUUUAUAUUUUCAUGGUAAAAUAAAAAAUGAAAAAAUUAUUUUGUUAAGCAUAAAUCAAAUGUGAAAAAAAAAAAAAUUCCAAAUUUUUUUUUUCUUUCCUUGGAAUCAAACAUGGCCUAAAGGAUUUGAAAAUGAGGGGAUUAGAAAACUAAAGAUUUGUAAUCUAUAGAACUUCGGAUUUUGUUGUUUUGGUUGGAUGGUUACGGUGAUGGUGGUGGUGGCCAUGAUGCGGGUGGAUGGCGGUGGUAGGUGGUGAGGCGGUUGAAGAGGAUGUGGCGGUGGCGGCCAUGGUGGUGGUGAUAGUAACUUCAAAUUAAUUGGUUGAGUCAUGUUUAUGAACUGUUAAAUAAUCUAUUGGUUUGGUGUUGUAUAGGCUGCAUUACUAUCCAAGUCCAUGCCCCUGCUGGAGCAAGCAGUGCUAGAUUUAUGUUGCACCACCUUACCUGAGAGUGUCGCCAUAGCAGACCUUGGCUGUUCAUCGGGCCCAAAUACUUUUUUCGCGGUCUCCGAAAUCAUGACCAUCAUCUACAGGAGGUGUCGCCAACUAGGCCGGUCACCACCAGGUUUUUGGGUGUUCUUGAAUGAUCUUCCAGGGAAUGACUUCAAUGCUGUGUUCAAGUCAUUGCCAACAUUCCAUGAAAAGAUGAAGGAAGAAAAUGGACAGGAGUUUGGGCCAUGUCAUGUUGCUGCUGUUCCGGGUUCUUUCUACCACAAGCUUUUUCCAUCCAGGAGACUACACUUUGUGCACUCUUCUUGCAGUCUCCAUUGGCUGUCCCAGGUUAGCUUAUUAUCCAAAUUGACCCAGAAAGAAACAGUGCCUUACAAUGUUGACUCACUCUUCUUGCUUGGGUUUACGCUGAUCCUUUCACAGGUUCCUCCAGAGCUUCUUAACAAGCAAAUUACAAACAAGGGGAAGAUUUAUCUUUCAAAAACAAGCUCACCGGCCCUCAUAGAUGCUUACGCAUCUCAGUUCCAGAGGGAUUUCUCUUUGUUUCUUAAGUUGAGAUCAGAAGAAACAGUCCCCGGAGGACGCAUGGUUUUGUCGCUCAUGGCCAGACGAACCCCAGACCCUGUCUCAGAUGAGAGUUGUCUGUUGUGGGAUCUAUUAGCACAGGCGUUGCAGGGGUUGGUUUCAGAGGUAUGUGUUCUACGUAGGGUGUCAAUUCAUGUUUUUGUCGUGUACCAGCCUAGGCAAUGUAUUGCAUAGUUCUACCCAAACCCUACGUAAAUAAUCCAUUUAACCCAUUUAAUAAUUCCAUCUUUUUAUUUAAUAACUUAAUUAGACUAUAGUCAAAUAUAAGUUAAAUAAUUUAAUAUUAUAAUUAGAUUAACCAAUACGCUUUUUAAAUGUGAUUCAAUUCGCAAAUGACACGAAUUGAAUCAACACCUAAUUAUCUCAAUCCAAACCCGGGAAAAACAUGUUAUGAUCGAGCCAUAUGCACAAAUCCCAUCAAACUUGCUCACCCCUAGUUGUGCACUUCUACUUCCUCAUCUCAUACCAAAAAAUAAGCAUAAUUAAUGAAUGGUGUUUCCAACAGGGGCUUAUUGCAGAGGAGAAAUUAGAUUCCUACAAUGCACCAUACUAUCAACCUUACACAGAGGACCUAGAAACUGGGAUAGAGAAUGAUGGAUCCUUUAGCAUCAACGGCCUUGAGAUCAUGGUCUUACCAUGGGACAGUGCCAGUGGUGGACAAAAUUAUGAUAGGCCAACAACCGCCCAGAAGAUUGCAAAGUCGAUGAAAGCAGUGCAAGAGCCGAUGUUGGCAAGUCAUUUCGGGGCAGAAAUCAUGGACCCUUUGUUUAAAAGGCUCAUGGAGAUCAUUGCAGCAGAUACAAGGGAGGUGGAGCAUGUUUCUGUCCUUGUUUCCAUGACCAGAAAGGCUUGAUAUCACUCUCAAGUCUCAAUCUUCCAUGACUUGUCAUACUGCACUUGCCUCUCAGACACUUGUUUAGUUAUUUGCAUCUGUACAUGAUCCAUGGAUCUGUUGAUUAUUGGCCUAUAUCCCAAUGGUUGUUUGGAUACGAGGAACAUGGAGGGUGGAGGAAGAGACCAAAGCUCUAUUUGAGAAGUGCUUUUGAAAAACAGAUUUUGAGUUCUAAUGUUUUGUAAAACAAUGUUUCGUAAAAUAGAAAAAGAAGUUUCUUUACCCUGAUCAUUUCCAAAAAAUAUUUAUUUAUUUUUUAUUUCAUUUAUAGGUUGGCUUAGAAACUAUAUGACAUUAACUAAAAGUAAUUAAAAUAUAUUUUCUAAAAAUAACAUAUUUUUCGUUUUUAAGAAGAAAAUAAACAUAUUUUCUAUUUUUUAAAAAUAAAAAAAUAUUUUUUUUUAUUAUUAAAAACCUGUUUGGCAAUGAUUCUAAAAACCGUUUAUAACCUUUUUAGCAUUUUAAAAGUUUUAUCUCUUAGAAUCAUUGCCAAAUAGGCUCAGAGCUAAAUCUCAAAAUGUUAGCCAAGAAGAGCAAGCGGGCAAGGGGUGGCUAGCUGAGGCUUUCUUUUCAUUUGCCAAAAACGUGCCUUGAGGCUGACUUUUUGGUGUACUUGUUGUGCAUGGGUGUGCCUUCGACUUGGACAAUGUGAAACAAAAAUUCAGCUACUAUCCAACUUUCAACUCAGGGAGCUCCCACAAUCAUCCUUAACUUCUACGUCAACUCAGAAAGGAAGACAUGUGAUUACUAUGCAUUUACUAAACCAAAAAUCUAAUACAAACCCAUGGAAAUGAGAAAGGAAUGGUAGGGAGCAAUUGAGAGGCAACCAUAAGGUUAUGCACCAUGCUCUAUCAUCUCUUUAGUUUUUUUCAAUUUUGUAAUAAUAUUCUAUCCCAUUGAAUAUACCAAUUUGGUCCAUUAAGGACAAAUUAGGGAUUAUUGGGUAUGUAUUGACUUAGAUCAUUUUUUUUUUUUUUUUGUCUAGACCAGUCUCAUUAUUUUAUAUUUGGAUUUUUUUUUUUACAUUUAAUCUUAUUUUUAUACUUUUAUCUAGCAAAAUCCUUGAUAAAUAAGAAUUCAAACACGAAGAUCCCACAAAUCAAACCAGAUGAAUUAAAAUCCCAGAAGAGUGAAUUUUGGUUCUCAUAAUAAUGAUUUUUAAUUUUUAUUUAAUUAUUUUAAUAUUAUAUCUUGUUCUUUCUAAUGAAAUAUUGUAAUGAGAACUACAUAGAAAUUAAUGUUGAAGGAUAUCUUUUUGAAAGUGACCACGUUAACAUUAUUGUUUAAGGUCAAGGCUAUGCUUUGGUUUAGGUAUCAGGCCAAUUUGACUUAUGGUAUGCUUUCCUUCUCUCUAUAAGACAAGAAUUACCUAUGAGGUAUGAUAGAUUUAUCAUUUUGGAAUAUUUAAAAAGAAUGUAAUAAAAGAAUUUUUGAAAAUUUUUAUUUAAAUAUGUAUUUUUUAAAUCAUUUUUUUGUUUGGUUUAGGGGGUUGAUGAAAGCUAUUCUUCAAUAUUCUUAGAUUGUAAAUAGUAUGAUGUGUUUAUUUGUUUUUUUUUAUUUGGACAAUUUGCCUAAUCAAUAUCUAUCAAGACAACUAAAUUAAGAAUGCAUUUGAUAUUGAUUUUAAAAAGUGUUUUAAAAUUUUUAUUUUUCAAAUAUUAAAAAGACUAUAAAUAAUUUUUUUUAAUUAUUCUUCAUGAAGAGAUAACACAUGACUAAAAGACAUAGGAGUAGGCAGAGGUUUGGCAUUGGACAUUUGUGCUUUGUCCAAAGGUCAUGACUAUAUUUAGCUUAAUUCAAAUGCAAAGAGAGUGCUCAAUGCCAAAAAAAUAAUUGAGGGAACCAAGAUCCAUCAAGGCAAAUUUGGUUUGAUCCAUCUUUUUGGCUAUAUAUGGUUGCUUUAAAGGAAAUAUAAAGAAAAAAAAUAGAUAGAAAAAUAAAAAGAUUUAAAGUAAUAAUUUUUUUUAUAUAUUACUUCAAAUUCUUUUUAAUUAUUCAUUAUAAACAUUAAAUAAAUUGAAAAUAUAUAAGUUUAUAACUAAUUUUAAUUACAUCUUAUAUAUUCUUUUUUGAAUAUUUUUUAUAUUAUAAUCAAUUAUGAAAAAAUAAUUUUCUUAAUAUAUUUUAUUUGUAUAAUACAUUUGGAAUUUUAAAUUCACUUUCUUGAUAACUUAUUUAAAAAGAAAUUUCAAUCCUAUUCUUCACAAAAAAAAAUUACCUUAAAAAGUUGAAAUAUGUUGCACUGUAAGCUAUAAAGUAAAAGUUAUAGCAAAAGUGUUUUAGAACCCGUUUAAUAAUGAUUUUAGAAAAUAUUUUUAAAUUUUUUAACAUUUAAAAUUUUUUAUUAUUCAAGUGUUUAAAAAAUUUAAAACAUUUUUUAAAAUCACUACCAAAUGUACUAUCAAUAUAAAUCAAUACAACAUAACUGAUAUAUAGUGAUUUUAAAAAAUAUUUUUGAAAAAAAUAAGUAAAUAUUUGAUAAAAUUUAGAAAGUAUUUUUUAAAAUUUAAAAAAUCACUUCUAAAAUUUAAAAUUUAUUUAUAAUAUUUUUUUAGAAAAUAUUUGAUAGAUGAUUCUCGAAACACUUUAUAAAAAAUUACUUUCACUAAUGUAUAAGAACACGAACAAACUAUUAACUUGUCCAAUUUAUAUUAUACAAUUCACACAUAUCCCUUUUUCUUCUAUACAUAAUUUAAAAAUAAAAAUAAAAAUGGUUGCCCAAUGCCAACAACCACGAAACAUUUAAUCCGGAAUCUCAAAUUAUCGCGAGAAAAAGGUUCAAAUUCGCGGCCAACCGGGAGGUGCUGGGCCGUUGGCAAUUCAUAGAACCAUCCUCACCUACCCACAUCAUCCCAUAUCCCCUUCUUCCUUCUUCUGCAGACGCAAUGUUACAUCUAAACUUCAAACCACCAACUUUUAUCCACCAUUUCAUCUCCCCAAAGCGCUCCGUUUCCAUCUCUCUUCCCAGCCCCAACCCUAAUCCAUGGCCUCUUCCGCCAAUCCUUUCUCUCUUUCGCUAUCCUCCGAGCUCGCUUCCAACUCUUCUCUCCACUGCGCCAACUCGUCCGAGGUCUUUCUCCGCUUCCCGAACUCUCCCGCGCCCCCCUCGCUCCGCUCUUCCUUCGUCUCGCCUAUUAAGAUUGAAUUGAAUCGAGUCGGUGUUUCUGCGUUGAAAGUGAGUCGAAUCGGUUCAAGGAUUUCGGCGAGUUCAACUCCGGUGAUGGAUCAGUCGCCGAGUCAGACGAGUCCUAGGGUUCCUACUGUUGUUGAGGUCGAUUUGGGGAACCGGAGCUACCCGAUCUACAUCGGAUCUGGAUUGCUUCAACAACCCGAGCUUCUCCAGAGGUAUUUGAAUUUGAUUUUUGUUCAAGUUUUUGUUGAUAUUUAUACAUGUAACGCGUUUGUAACCAUUUAAAGUUUAGGGAAUUUGUGCUAUGUGAAAGAUAGAUGACGGACAAGUGAAUACAAUUGAAAGUUGUUAUUUUGGUUGGGUUUGGCUUGCUGUUUGGUUGCUGAGAAGAUGUAGGAAAGAGAAAGAAAUUGGAAUUUGAACCGUAAAAAAAUGACCAUUUUCAUCAUUUACAAACUCAAGAAAACAGAACUCCAUUCAGCUCACUCUGGGCUAUUGCACUGCUUGGAUUAGUUGAGUUCACAUUUUUUGACAAACCAAAAACAAUAGAAAACAGGUCAUACAUUGUAGAGUGGCGGGCAUGUGGUCCAUGUUGUUUUCGCCUCUGGAGUUCCUUCAGUGUUGGUGUUUGUUCAUUAAGGGACUUUGACUAUUAGGCAUGGAAGGUUUACACAGAAGGAAAUGAGGAAAGUAUGAAAAGCACCACAUUUGUGCUUAUUUUGGUGUUUAUGGAAGGAACCUAACCAAUAAACAUCUGAAGGUCAAAUGUGAUUAGAGUUGCAGGUGAAUAUUUUAUUCCUUAGAUCUUUGGUUGUUUGAUCAAUAGAUUUUCAGUAGUGGGAACCUUCUUUUCUAAAAUUGAAGUCAUGGGUCUUAGCCUAAGGCUGUUGUUUAGAUGGUUUUUCUCAUUUCUGUUCUUUGUCUGAUCCUUGUAAACUUACUAUAUCCCUGGGUUAUGCAUCUUUUUUGAGGUGUCUGCAUCCAGAAAAAAAGAAAAGAAAAUAAAAAACAACAACAUGAAACCUGGGGCCCUUUUUUUUUUAUCGUCUGUUUCCAAAAAAACUCAGUAUUGUUUUCUUUUUGUUCCCUUGGUCUUCACAGCAACUAAAUGGAGGGUGUUGGGAGAAUUGAGUUGAUUCAAAUAUUGGAUGAGAAUGUAUUCUCUGUCUCUAAAACUAAGGCUCUGUCUAAUUUCAAAAGAAUAAGGGAAAUGAAAGGGAGGAAAUGCUGAAACUAGACCGAAAAAGGAAUCCAUUUUUGGGCAAUUACAAAUAUUUCCCUUCCUCUCCUUACUUUCUGAGGCAAAAUGAUAUGCUCUGAUGUUGUUCAUUUAUAUUAAUUUAAUGCUAUUUCAUAGACAUGUUCAUGGGAAGAGAGCUCUUGUGGUCACCAACACCACAAUUGCAGCAUUAUACCUUGAUAAAGUAGUUGAUGCUUUAACUCGUGGAAACCCAAAUAUUUCAGUUGAGAGUGUGAUUUUGCCAGACGGUGAGAAGUACAAAAACAUGGUAGGUAUAUUCAAGUUUCAAUUAACGAUUUGUGUUUAAGAUGUGAUUGUAGUUGCAUUAAUUUAAUUGCUUUUAUGUAUUGUAGGACACACUAAUGAAAGUUUUUGACAAGGCAAUUGAGUCACGGUUGGAUAGACGUUGUACAUUUGUUGCCGUUGGUGGUGGUGUUAUUGGUGACAUGUGUGGAUUUGCUGCUGCUGCCUUCCUUCGUGGUGUUAAUUUCAUUCAGAUUCCUACAACUGUAAUGGCACAGGUAUGUCUUAAAUCACAGCACCUUUUUAGCUGGCUCUUGCUCCCUUUGCAUGCUUCAGGUGUACAAGGGCUGGACACCUUCUUUCUUAGGUGCUCCUAAUCUAACUGUUUGCCUAUCAGAAAAAAAAAAAAAACCAAAAACUAACUUUAAUAUUCUUUUUUAAACUUGGCACUUAUGUUGAAUUUCAGCUGGCUUCUGAAAAAAUAACUAUUUUUUUUUUCUAGGUGGAUUCUUCAGUUGGAGGCAAAACUGGCAUAAACCAUCCUCUAGGAAAAAAUUUGAUUGGUGCUUUCUACCAACCUCAGUGUGUACUUAUAGACACUGACACAUUAAACACACUGCCAGAGAGGGAGUUGGCAUCAGGUUUUGCUGAGGUUAUUAAGUAUGGGCUUAUUAGGGAUGCUGAAUUCUUUGAGUGGCAAGAGAAGAAUAUGCAGGCAUUAAUGGCAAGGUAAUAAAAUAUUCCAUUCUCAUCAUAUUCUUCUUAAAAAAAAUUUGAUUUUAUGUGAGAUUAGCUUAUAGUUCAAUACUUAAGAUUUGCAUUCAGUGAUUCUCUGUACAAUUAGUGGGCAUAUCUUUUCAAUGGAAGCACUAAACUUACCCAGAUGUUUGAAAAGGUUUUCAGACCCAGUAAAUUUAUUGGUAGCAUUUUUCUUGUAAAACAUUUGAAGAAAGAUCAAAUUACGUUCUUGGAUUGAAACAAAGAGGAAAUCUUUGUAUAAACGAAGUUCAAAGGUUUUUUCUAUUAUUUUGAAGUUCAAAAUUUUAGGGAUUCUAAUUAAGGUUUGUUGCAGAUGCUGAUGUAUAUCCACAAACACCAAGUUAUCUGCAUUGGGGCCAUGCUUGGUCCAUCCUUGUUAUUUGUAUAGCUUCUGAGAGGAAUGUCAUGCAUGAAAAUAAUGGUUUGGUCCUUUGCAGGGAUCCAGGUGCACUGGCUUAUGCUAUCAAGCGAUCAUGUGAAAACAAGGCUGAGGUAGUAUCUUUAGAUGAGAAGGAAAGUGGACUGAGGGCGACAUUGAACUUGGGUCAUACUUUUGGCCAUGUGAGUUUUGAGUUCAUGUGAAUGAUUAUGUUCUUUUUUUGCUUUAUAAAUCUGCUUGUUGGCUUUAUGCUGGUGCCUCUCUUAUAUGGAAAUUGCUAUUAUGAUUCAUUGAAAAAUAAUUGUUUCCUGAAACUUUUUAUAAUUGUAAGGGGAAACCAAAAGUAAGAGUAAUAUCUCUGAUAAAAAAAAAGGUAAAGAGUAAUAUAUCUCAAAAUUACAAGUUCUCGUUAAAGCAUCUAAUCCCUUGAAAUUUUCUGAAGUAAUGUGAUAUCAUAUUAUCUUGUUUGUUGUGUCAUUCCAUAUUAUCUUGUUUUUGUGGACCUUUUAUCAAGUUAUACAUGCUAUGUUUGGCUCCUAUAAAAUUUGAGGGAAAAUGCUUGGAAAUGAAAGUAGAAAAGAAAAGUAGAAGGAAAGAAAACAAAAAGGAAAAUAAAAAAUAAAUUUAAAGUCAAUAAAUUAUUUUUAUAUAUCACUUCAAACUUAUUUUACUUAUUUUAGCUUCUCAAAAUAAAAGAUCAAAUAAUUUGAAAAUGCAUAAGUUUUUAACUUAUUUUAAUUAUAUUUGAUUUUCUUUCGUAUUUUCCAUUGUACAAUCAAACAUGAGAAAUCAUUUUCCUUAACAUUUUUUUUUUCUUUCCUUAGUACUUUCUGGGAACGAAACAUAACCACAAUGUAUUGACUUUUUCCUUAAUACAAAAUUUUUGUAAAUAUUAUUGCUUGUCCUUUUAGUUAAAGUUUUACUUAUCAUCAAGUGAUCUCCCAGGCUUGCCCUCCUAGAGAGACUUGUGCCUCAUCUGUUGAAUUGAUGUUAAGGUGUCGUGGUUUACCUAGUAACAUCUGAAUUUUACUUCUCUAAAAAUUACACAUGCAACUACAAGUUUGGUUUGAGGAGCUUUUAGUUGUUAUCCAGUCCCAUGUUAUAUUUACCAAAGAAACCCCUUUAAGCAAUCCCAUUCUGAUUAUCACAUCUUUUCUUCAGGCAAUAGAAACUGGGGUUGGUUAUGGGCAGUGGCUCCAUGGAGAAGCUGUUGCAGCUGGCAUGGUAUGGUAUCCACAAUUUUCUGUUUUCCUCAUCCACCUCCCCUUGUUCAGUCAAGUCUGUAUACAUCCGCAUGCAAGCAUGUAUGCUCAUGGGUGUAUUUGUGUGUCCUUAUCUCUUUUUUUGAUCACUAUCAUGUGUAUUCUGCACCAAUGUUUAGGUCAUGGCUGUCGACAUGUCAUACCGCCUUGGUUGGAUUGAUGAUUCAAUUGUGAAGCGAGUUCACAAUAUCAUAAAGCAGGCUAAGCUACCCAUUACCCCACCUGAAAGCAUGACAGUGGAGAUGUUCAAGUCAGUCAUGGCGGUAAGAGAAAAUAUUGCCAAUGCUAACACAUUUGAAGCUUAAAAAACUCCUCUCAUUCUUCUAUAUGUUGGGAUGCAGGUUGAUAAGAAAGUGGCUGAUGGACUGCUAAGGCUCAUUCUCUUGAAAGGUCCUCUAGGCAACUGUGUUUUCACUGGUGACUAUGACAGGAAGGCACUGGAUGAUACACUCCGGGCAUUUGCCAAGUCCUGAUUCCUCAAUUGGACUGUUCCUAUUUAAUCUGCAAUUUUUGUAUUAGAUCCAUGUUGUGUAUUUAGAUAGACAUACCAAAAUGUCUUCCCUGUAGUUUGAACGGAUUUUCGCUUGGACUUUCCUAAAUCUUAUUUGGUAGAAAGCCUCUUAAGAAGUUGUAAUUUAAGCAAUCAUGCUAUUAAUAAGAAUUGCCCUAGUCUCAAAAUUUAUUGGGGGUAUUCAUAUUCGUAUUUUUGCCUUUUGCCUCGUUUUGUCCUUUGACUCGUUGUCCGUCACCUGCUCCCCUGCAUACUGCAUGUAUUCAUGUAUUUCCAUAUGAGAUGUGAACCAAUGUCAGUUAGCUCUGUUUUGGUAUAUUGUCAAAACAAAACGGUACGUAUUCCUGCGUCUUUUGGCUAGGGAGGGUGCCGCACCCUAUUAUAACUACUGACCGUUUGUGCCCCUUAUAAACAAGGGUCACUCUCUCACUCAGUUGCCAGGGGGGUUCCCCUGGACCCCCAUUUGUCACAGGCCCCUGAUCUCCACCACUGGCUCAGCGGAGUUCGGGCAUCUAUCUCCUCUCCGAUCUCUACUAAUUAUAAUGCUAACGAGGUACUAGCUUUUCUACAGGGAAGAGAGAGAAAGCAUAUAACUAAGUAAACGAAAGAUGACUCGUUCAAGCCUGUUGAGCUUGAUAGUUCAUAGAGAGGUUAACUAUUAAGAACAUGCCAACAUGGUAGGCACCGACUCGUUAGUGAUUGGAUUUUAAGCGAUAAGCUUUUUGAACAAAAUUAGCUCUACAUAUGUUAGAUGGGCUUAGAAUGUGGCCCAAUGGGGCGAGGAGCGUGAAACCCAACCUGAUUCCGAAAGGGGCCCAGCUGGUUUAGGUGUCUGUGUCACAGCAACGAGGGUGGUUGAAGAUCAAAAGAAAAAGGGGAAAGGAAAAUCCAAAAUGAGAGAGAACAAGUGUUGGAUUCUCCAUCCAACAGGUAGCAACAAACAAGGGCGUAAGUGUCACUCGUUAAGGCUGCAAUGUGUGACAGACAGGCGAGCGAGUAGGAACUUGGAACAAAAAAAUGAAAAAUGAAAAAUGAAAAAUAAAAAAAAAUAAAAAAACAGUCGCACUGCAUUUUCAGCAAAAUAAAAAGAGGCCAUACCCAAUACCUAUUGCCUGCACAGCGCAAACCCUCACUGACCAUCCCAUAUUCCCAAAUUCCAUUCCUGUGGAGGCCCACUGGAAACUNNNNNNNNNNNNNNNNNNNNNNNNNNNNNNNNNNNNNNNNNNNNNNNNNNNNNNNNNNNNNNNNNNNNNNNNNNNNNNNNNNNNNNNNNNNNNNNNNNNNGUUUGAACGGAUUUUCGCUUGGACUUUCCUAAAUCUUAUUUGGUAGAAAGCCUCUUAAGAAGUUGUAAUUUAAGCAAUCAUGCUAUUAAUAAGAAUUGCCCUAGUCUCAAAAUUUAUUGGGGGUAUUCAUAUUCGUAUUUUUGCCUUUUGCCUCGUUUUGUCCUUUGACUCGUUGUCCGUCACCUGCUCCCCUGCAUACUGCAUGUAUUCAUGUAUUUCCAUAUGAGAUGUGAACCAAUGUCAGUUAGCUCUGUUUUGGUAUAUUGUCAAAACAAAACGGUACGUAUUCCUGCGUCUUUUGGCUAGGGAGGGUGCCGCACCCUAUUAUAACUACUGACCGUUUGUGCCCCUUAUAAACAAGGGUCACUCUCUCACUCAGUUGCCAGGGGGGUUCCCCUGGACCCCCAUUUGUCACAGGCCCCUGAUCUCCACCACUGGCUCAGUGGAGUUCGGGCAUCUAUCUCCUCUCCGAUCUCUACUAAUUAUAAUGCUAACGAGGUACUAGCUUUUCUACAGGGAAGAGAGAGAAAGCAUAUAACUAAGUAAACGAAAGAUGACUCGUUCAAGCCUGUUGAGCUUGAUAGUUCAUAGAGAGGUUAACUAUUAAGAACAUGGUAGGCACCGACUCGUUAGUGAUUGGAUUUUAAGCGAUAAGCUUUUUGAACAAAAUUAGCUCAACAUAUGUUAGAUGGGCUUAGAAUGUGGCCCAAUGGGGCGAGGAGCGUGAAACCCAACCUGAUUCCGAAAGGGGCCCAGCUGGUUUAGGUGUCUGUGUCACAGCAACGAGGGUAGUUGAAGAUCAAAAGAAAAAGGGGAAAGGAAAAUCCAAAAUGAGAGAGAACAAGUGUUGGAUUCUCCAUCCAACAGGUAGCAACAAACAAGGGCGUAAGUGUCACUCGUUAAGGCUGCAAUGUGUGACAGACAGGCGAGCGAGUUGGAACUUGGAACAAAAAAAUGAAAAAUGAAAAAUGAAAAAUAAAAAAAAAUAAAAAAACAGUCGCACUGCAUUUUCAGCAAAAUAAAAAGAGGCCAUACCCAAUACCUAUUGCCUGCACAGCGCAAACCCUCACUGACCAUCCCAUAUUCCCAAAUUCCAUUCCUGUGGAGGCCCACUGGAAACUCCAUUCAUCCUCAAGCCUCUCUCAAUUUCCUAUUUAGACCAUGCCGGUGCUGGAACUCCCUGGAUCCCGCAUUCGUUGAUCGCCGCCCACCGGUGAUCUCUGCCCUUGUAUGGACACUCCCGGUCGGAAAGCGGCGGAGCCCUCCUCAGCUGCCGCUUCCACUCACUCCCUGGCUCGCUCCUCCAAGAGACCUCGUUUCCUCGCCUCUUCUUCAUCGUCGCCCAUCCCCACUCGCUCCCAUCGCAGUUCGCGACUCAUGGAAUCGGCCACUGAGGCGUCCGGUUCUAAGAAGGGCAAGGAGAAGGAAUCCGAGUUGAGGUUGAAGAUCAAAGAAAAGCAGAGAAGCUUAGGGUUAAGUAUCGAUAGCGACGAUGUGCUUGGUCGUGAUGACGACGACGAUGACGACGACGAUGAUGAUGAUGACGAGGACGACGGUGAGGGCAGUUUUGGAAUUUUGCAUCAGAAUUUGACCUCUGCGAGUAGUGCUCUACAAGGUCUUCUCAGGAAACUCGGUGCCGGACUCGACGAAUUGUUGCCGUCGGCUGCCGUGGCCGCGACGCCGGGGAGUGGGCGGCUCAAGAAGAUACUAUCCUCACUGCGGGAGGAGGGCGAAGAAGGGCGUAAAAUCGAGGCGUUGACGCAGCUCUGCGAUUUGCUAUUGAUGGGGACGGAGGAUUCGCUGUGUGCUUUUCCGGUUGACUCCUUCGUGCCGGUGCUUGUGGAAUUGCUUAAUUAUGAGAGCAAUGCGGACAUAAUGUUGCUUGCUGCUAGGGCAAUUACGCAUCUCUGCGACGUGUUGCCAUCAUCUUGCAGUGCGGUCUUGCAUUACGGUGCGGUUCGGUGUUUCUGUGCCAAGCUGCUGGAAAUUGAAUGUAUGGACUUGGCUGAACAGGUGAUUUCUUGUGGGCACAUGUAAAUUCAUUGUUGUAAAACAUUUUAUAUUAUUUGAUUGCUGACAAAAUGGAGGAAAACUACAAAAAAAAAUUAUGUUUCGGGUCUUAAUGUUAAUGUUGAAUCUUAAUGUUUAUGUUGUGGUAUUCAGUUAAGAUAAUCAUUUGAUUCGACAAAGCUGAAUGGUUUGAGACAGGCUUAGUUGAGUGGACGUUUUAGUUUUCCGAGGUCCCAAAGAAUUGAAAAUCCAAAAUUUUGAUUUUUGUUCCCUCUGUAUUCUCAGAAACAAUUGGUGAUCUUUGGGGAAAAGGCGCCGAGUUCCAAUAUCUGAUAUUUAUGUUUCUGUUUAUUGCUAGAAAACUGGGUGUCCAUAUUACGAUACACAUUUUCUUAUUGAAACAAAUUUCUUUAGCUAUAGCUGAUAAAGGGCUCUUUGUUUUCUGGUUGGGUGAAAUAAAUUUCUUUGGCUGUAGCUGAUAAAAGGCUCGCCCUUUGUUUUGUUUGUGACAAUAAGUGCAGUCUUUGCAAGCUCUGAAGAAGAUAUCCCAGGAGCAGCCUACUGCCUGUUUGCGAGCAGGUGCUCUAAUGGCAGUGCUUUCUUUUCUUGACUUCUUCCCAACAGGUGUUCAGGUAAAAUUUUGGCUAUUUACUCGUAUGCUGUGCUCCUUGGUCUUCUGGGGCCAUAUUGGGAUUUUUCUGAAGAAGUUUAUUUCCAUGUUUUCAGAGAGUAGCAUUGUCCACUGCUGCCAAUAUGUGUAAGAAACUCCCUCCAGAUGCAGCCGACUUUGUGAUGGAAGCUGUGCCUCUUUUGACAAACCUUCUUCAAUAUCAAGAUUCCACGGUAAUAAGAGUAUUGAAUUAACUUCCUCUUUUGGAUCCCAAAUUUUCAAAAUAAAACCAGAAUAAACAUGUCUGUGCUGAUAGAUGGGGUUGCGCAUCUUCAGAGGGCCAAGAUUAUUGAGCUAUAUCAUUUAAAAAUUUAUAUAAAUCAGCCGAAUUUAACUGACGCAUCCAGCUGCUUUCCUGGAAAAUGGAAUCCCAGAAUUGGGGAAGCUAUUUUAUUUGAAUUUGAAGAAAAAAGGCAUUUUAUCAGCAUAAUACCUAUAGCAUAUUGUGCUGCAAGUUUGGCACUUUCUGAAUUCAAUUUCAAGGGUCUACUUCCCAAAUACUGAACAGUGCCUUUUGUAAUCCCUUCCAUAGCCUUUUUGUAUUUAUUCUCGUAUAUAGGCUGUGUGUUAUAUUUUCAGGUGUUAGAGCAUUCUUCUGUCUGCUUGACUCGCAUUGUGGAAGCAAUUGCUUCAUCCCCUGACAAGUUAGAUGAACUAUGCAAUCAUGGACUGAUCGAACAAGUUACUGCACUUAUUUCUACAAGUAAUUCUGGAGGUGUUCAGGCAUCCCUGAGCACAUCUACAUACACGGUAGUUGAAGAUGUACACUUUCAGAUUGAUUGCUUAUCUUUGUUUGGGUCAAAUUCUGACUUAUCGGUCAUGCAGGGCUUAAUCCGGCUUCUUUCAAUAUGUGCAAAGGGGUCUCCCUUAGGAGCCAAAACUUUGCUUCACCUUGAAAUCAGUGGCAUUCUUAAAGAUAUACUUCCAGUUUCCAGCUUAAUUGGAAGUGUUUCUGUUCCCCCUUCUUUGACCAGACCCCCUGAUCAGGUAAUAUCCAUCUUCCCUUUCUACUGCUUUCCCAUAGAUUAUAAUAAAUUAUGGAUAAUAUUACAUAAGAAAAGGAAGAGUAUAAUAUAGAUAGAUAGAUGGAUGGAUGGAUGGACAGAGGGUUAGAGGGUUAUUAUGUAACUUAGUUUUUUCAACUCUGGAUACUACCUAGUGAAAUAAUGUUCCUAGUGUGUCUCUGCUGAUCCAUCCAUCCAUCUCUUUUCUCUCUCUCUCUCUCUCUCUCUCUCUCUCUCUCUCUCUCUCUUUGUAUAUAUAUAUAUUGGAUGAAUAGAUUGAGAGAGAGAGAGUUAUUAUGUAACCUAUAUUUUCCAACUCUGGAUACCACCAAGUUGAAUAAUGUACUUGGUGCAUCAUAAAACACAUUAGUAGUGCCUAACCUAAUUUCUUAAGGUGGCUAACUGCCCAAUUGGAAAACAGUUUAGAUGACUAGGCAUGAAUUUGAUAAUCAAAACACUAUGCUGAGAAGGAUAGCUCAUGUACAUGUCAGACACCAAUACUUGCUUGUUGAUGUACUUGUUAUGUAGUUGAAGUGUAGCUUUGCAUAUUAAUGAUUAAGAUGGAUGUGCCUUCUUUAAAUGAUAAAAGAGAGUACAAAAAAUGGCUUCAUAUUCAUUUCUGGUCAUUACAGCUUGUGAAUUAUGAUUCAAAUUGGGCCUUGGAUCAAGAUUUACGGAACGCAUGGGAUUUGUAAAACUAAAACAAUGCCCCUUAAAAACCUUUCAAAGGGACUCUUAAUCCCAAAAUCUCCCUUCUCUUGUUUUGGCAAACAUAAUGGGUCAUUUCAUCGAGAUGCAUGCUUGUUGCUGUUCAGUAAAUGAUGGUGGGAAAAGUUUAGGUUGGAUACCUGAUGAUGAAAAUACUCCAUGCUUGAGGUUCAUUUGUUAUUAUUCAAACUUUCCUGUGUACAUGGGUUGUGCACCCUUCUUUUUUUAUUAAGCAUCCUAUUAUCUUUUGUUUGCCAAUUAAAAAAAUUUGUUACUGCUCAAACCUCUACAGUUGGAGUUAUUUUUCAUAACGCAUCAAAGAAGUUUUACAUAAUGAACCUUGCAAAGUCUCUCUAUCAUUGGAUUUAAAUUGAUUUUCAUUUGAAUGCACAGAUUUUCGAGAUAGUGAACCUUGCAGAUGAGCUUCUCCCCCCACUACCAGAAGGAACUAUCUCCCACCUGAAUUAUUCUAGUUUUCAAAUGAGAAGUUCUGCAGGAGAGAAGUCUCCUUCCAGUGGUUCUGGUAAGGAAGAAAUUACUAAUGGAAGUAUGCCUGAGGCUUCAGCACGUGAGAAAUUAUUAUGUGAUCAACCAAAAUUUCUGCAGCAGUUUGGAGUGGAUCUUCUUCCUGUUUUAGUACAGGUUGGUACUUGUAAUGAACUUGCUUGCUCUAUAAUUUUUACUCACUCCAUUUCAUUAAUAAGGAGGUUUUGGAUUUCUUGAAGCAGGUAUAUGGGUCCACUGUGAAUGUCCAAGUUCGCAACAAGUGUCUCUCUGUCAUUGGAAAGUUAAUGUACUUCUGCACAGCAGAUAUGAUUCUAUCUUUAUUAAAUUCAACAAACAUAUCGAGGUACUUAUUUUUCUUCUUCUUGUGAGAGCAGAAUUUUUGAAACUUCAAUAUCUGAGUUUAUUAUUUGGCUUUCCAGUUUCCUAGCUGGUGUUUUAGCAUCGAAGGAUCCGCAAGUUUUGAUUCCUGGCCUCCAAAUGGCUGAGAUUCUCAUGGAAAAGCUUCCUAAAACUUUCUCCAGGAUGUUUGUGAGAGAAGGAGUGCUUCAUGCUGUAGACACACUUAUAUCUCAUGAUUUGGAAAAUGUAGGUGGUGACCAAAUAUUGUCUGCUGAAAGGGGUAAUGAUUCCAUAUCUGGAACAUCAUUGCGUUCAAGGUGUUAUCGACGGGGAAUGGGCUACUCUAAUCCAGAUGGAAGUUUUCUUGAAGAACCGAAGGGUUAUAUUUCAGUUCACAAUGGUUCAUCUUCAGCAUCAGUAGAAAUUCCAUCUAGAAAUUCUAGGAGACUGGCAGUUAGUACCCGUGCUAAAGCUUUCAAACAUAAAUACUUCCCUUCAUGCCCUGGGGAAGCUGAGGUUGGAGUUACAGAUGACCUUCUACGUUUGAAAAAUCUCUGUGUUGAGUUGAAUUUAUGUGUAAAUGAUCAAAAUACCAAGAGAAAGGGAAAAUCUAAAGCUUCAGGACCCAACUUGACCAAUC
rnacentral:lncRNA from 1 species